UCACACUGGUGGCAUGCCAUGCUGCUCUACCACCUCAACUUUACUGGAACUCUGUCUUGCCAAACUCAAAAAUGCCAAAAGCUAUCAGUGAACUUCUCCAGCCUGCAGGUUAGUAUUAGAGUCUCAGAGAAGCUCAGAUAUUGUGUAUUCCUUAGACAAUAAUUCUAUUUAGACAUACACAAUUAAGAUCACUACUGACACACUCUCUAAUACAGGCGAGUCUAACCAUCGUAUAUAUGUAAAAUGUACAUGUAUUAGAGAGUACAUGUCAAGAAAUGCGUUAUAUAUUCUCUAAAAGUGAUAUAAUCCAUUUGUAAUAGCAACAAUUUAGUAUUAUAAAAGUUGAAGGGAUGGAAUAGCUUAAAUGUUCUCAUUGAUCAAAAUUGGAUUGUGGUCUUGGUAUGUAUAUACACUUAUUUUCUUACAUGUAUGUCACUAAAAGCCACAAUAUAAUAAGUCAAUUUCAAAACAAUCGGUCAACUUUUUAUAAACUUUGCUCCUAGUAUAGUUGACUGAAAUUUCUAAAGCCAUGUCGUUCGUUGAUGCGUUCCUGAUACCUUCAAUAAAUUGACUUCACAAUUGUGCAAAUGUGCCGAUAAACUUUAUGACACUUUUAGCUAUACAAUCUUAUGUUGUUAGAAAAUAUAAUUUGACUUCACAAUUAUGAAUGUGCUGAUAAAUUUGACUUCACUUUUAGUUUUAGAUAUAUGACCUCAACGGCGAAUUCCCAUAUUUUCUAUAUAUGAUCCGAAUAUUCUCACAAAUUUUAGCUUAACAAUUUUGAUGUUCUACCUCUUCUCACCUGUUCUCCAUUAUGUUUGCUAAAAUUUGCAGAUUUCACAGAGGAUAAGAGCACCUCUGUUGUAGUAGGAAAGGGUGGUGUCAACGUUGAUGCAGGAAAAGGAAAGCCCGGAGGCACCCAUGUCGAUGUUGGGAAGGGUACUGGAGUGCAUGUGGAAGCCGGAAAAGGAAAGCCAGGCGGUGGCACUAACGUGAACGUAGGAGGCAAAGGCGGUACUGGGGUGAACACCGGGAAGGGAACCAACGUUGGUGUUGGCAAAGGAGGAGUGUCCGUAAACACAGGGCACAAGGGAAAGCCCGUGUAUGUUGGAGUAAAACCAGGACCAGACCCUUUUAACUACCAGUAUGCAGCCACCGAAACCCAACUCCAUCAAGACCCAAACGUUGCUAUUUUCUUCUUGGAGAAAGACAUGCGUCCUGGAACAACAAUGAACUUGCACUUCACCACAAAUUCAAACACGCAAACUUUUGUGCCGCGCGAAACUGCGGAAUCCAUCCCAUUUUCGUCCAACAAGCUGCCAGAAAUCUUCAACCAAUUUUCAGUGAAAUCGGGUUCCGUGGAAGCGGAUAUAAUCAAGGGUACAAUUCAAGAGUGUGAGAAUCCAGCCAUUAGAGGAGAGGAGAAAUAUUGUGCUACCUCUUUGGAGUCCAUGAUUGACUUUAGCACUUCUAAGCUUGGAGGAGGAAAUGUUCGAGCAAUUUCGACAGAAGCCGGAAAAGGAGCUACAUUGCAGAAGUACACAAUAACUUCUGGAGUGAAGAAGUUGGCGGCGGAUAAGUCGGUCGUGUGUCACAAGCAGAACUAUCCCUAUGCUGUCUUUUACUGCCAUGCAACAAAAACAACAAGAGCUUAUGUGGUGCCCCUGAAAGGUGCUGAUGGGGUGAAUGUUAAAGCAGUAGCAGUCUGCCAUACAGACACAUCGGAGUGGAACCCUAAUCAUUUGGCCUUCCAAGUUCUCAAAGUUAAGCCGGGAACUGUUCCGGUCUGCCAUUUCCUUCCCAGUGAUCAUGUUGUCUGGGUUCCAAACCAGAAAUCUACCUGAUUUGACUGAUCAACCCUUGAGUUCUACGUAUGAUGAUGUGAUCAGCUCAAUCAGCAUAGUUUGAGUGGCAAGAGUUUGAAAUUAAAUCGACCGUCGAUUACUUCUUAUUGUCACUAUGUAUUUCAGCCUAUAUAUAUACUCAUAAAUGAAAGCAUACUAUCGUGUGGACUUGUACCAAAAAGCAUGCUAGUGGACAUGCUCUACUACAUUCAGUAAUAGUUAUAUAUGCUUUGAUUCUGUGGUGCCAUCUGUCCACUGGUUCAGUUUUAAAUUGUCGUGCUAUUAUAUGCAUGAUACACGGGUUUCAUCUCCUUUGUCUUAGGAGAGGGAGGGAGUUGAGUACGUUGCAUGUCGAUAAUUAACAAAUUUUGUAUAUACUUAUAAGGAAGUGGAACCUUAAUUUCUUUUACGAUCUAAUCAAAGCAGUUACCCAGGGACUGCCAAGAAGCUAAAAUCCCAAACCAAGGAGGGCACCAGAUAACAAAGGGAAGUUUCAUUUGUACAAAUAAAAAUCCACAAAAAAAUCUCGCCACAAAAGUACAAAUUCAAAAAAAAAAUCAGGCCACUAUUGCAUGCUUCAAAAUUAAAGAAAAUUUCAGGCCACUGCAUGCUCUUGCUUUCCGGGUUUUCCCCACAAAGUUUUCUGUUGACAGGUAGGCCGACAAAAAUAUGAGCGCUUCACACCAGGCAAUGGCAAGGGCUGCAUGUUUUACACCUAAUCCCAACAAAUUUGGUAGUUCACCUUCUUACUUCCCCAUAAAUAUUGAACCCAUAUGCUACUGUUUACCAUAUCUCUCUGAGUUUUCAUGUUUCAUCCAGUAAUUUUCGUUUGUGUUGCAAAAGUUGAGUCUUAAUGGGGUUCCUUCUCUCCAGAAUCUUUGCUUUUCUAACUGUAAGUAAGAGCUGUAAUUUUGAAUCCUCCCUGUUACUAUAGUUAAUUUGAUUGAUCUUAUGUUUUUGCUAAUUUUAUUUUCUUUCUCUCUUACUAAUUGUGCGAGUUUAAUUUCAGCUCACACUGGUGGGUGUCCAUGCUGCUUUACCUUUGUCACCUCAGCUUUACUGGAAUUCCGUCCAGCCAAACUCACCAAUGCCGAAGAUAUCAGUCAACUAGUCCAGACUGGUUAGUAUCUAUGUACAACCUCAGAUUGGCUUCAAAAACUCAUUUCCACAACCAAUCGUCCUUGUGAUUUACACAUGUUUUCACUUUUGCACAAGAAGAAAAAGAGGCAACAACCGCGGAACAAGUUUGGCUGUUGUUACUAGCCUAGCGAUUGCUAAAUACGUGACAAAAAGUUAAAAAAGCGCACCAAAAAGUAAAAAAUUAUGACAUACUGUUUGUCACGCUUCUAGGAAUAGCUACACUAGAAAUAGCACCCUGGCUCCAUAGCUAUUUAUGUUGGUAAAUCCGCAGACUUCAUUACUGUUGGCAAAGGGGGAGUUAUUGUUCAUAACCAAGUUGCAGAUGUUGCAACUAACGUUCAAUAUCUUUACCGGGAUGAUUCAACUGAAGGCAAGAUGCAGAUCAAAAAGUAAAGACAUAAAGAUGCUGCUGAAAAUCCAACACUUGAAGACCCAACUCGAGUAAUUUUCUUCUUGGAGAAGGACAUUCAUCCUGGCACAACAGUGAAUUAUCACUUAUCCGGAAAUUCAACCAGAGAAACUUUCCUGUCCCGCAAGACUGCAGAGUCCAUCCCCUUCGGCUCAAGCAAAUUGGCAGAAAUUCUUAACCGAUUUUCAGUGAAACCGGGGUCUUUGGAAGCCGACAUAAUGAAAGAAACCAUCCAAUAUUGUGAAGGGGUGGCCAUGAGAGCCGAAGAAAAAUAUUGUGGUACCUCUCUAGAGUCGAUGAUUGACUUCACCACCUCCAAGCUUUGAAGAAAUAAUAUUAAAGCAAUCACGACGGAGGUGGAAAAAGGAGCUGCCCCGCUGCAGAAUUACACAAUAACCCCUGGAGUGAAAAAGCUGGCAGGCAACAAACUUAUUGUGUGCCAUAAGAUGAUCUAUCCAUAUGCCGUUUUCUACUGCCAUGCAAUUGAAAAAACAAGGACUUUUAUUGUGCCUCUCAAAGGCGCUGACGGGACGAAUGCUAAAGCAGUAGCAGCCUGCCAUGAAGACACAUCUGAAUGGAGCCCAAAACAUUUUGCCUUCAAAGAGCUCAAUUUUGAGCCAGGAACAACUGAAUCCCAUUUGCCAUUUUCUUAAAAACGAGAAUGUUGGUUGGGUUUCAAAACAAAAACCUACAUGAGUUGAAUCCGCCGCUCGGGUCCUCUACUUGAUUAUGUAGCCCAUCAAUAGGAGUAAUUAGCCCGCUCCAUUAAUAAAAACAAUCGCAUGAGACAGAUGAGCUGUUUAUGUCUGAGACUGCGUACUCACUUCAUAACAUAUUCUUAUUACUCAUUAGCAACGCAAAAUUCCCUCUUGUAAUAGAGACGAAAAAAGUACCACCCCCCCCCCCCUUCCCAAAAUAAAAGCAAAGAAAAAAAAUAGAUGAGUAUAUUUUAUUGUAUCUCUUAAUCUUAUCCUACCUCCCAUAUCAAUAAUUUGAAUGAAAAAAAUAAGAGUAAUGCUAAAGAAACUAAAUUUGAAGAUUAAAAUUGCAAACUAAAUGAUGUAUUACUAAUAGAAAUAAGCACGUCUUUUAAGACUUAAGUAAUAAACCAAUCAUCAAUUUCCAUGUUCUUUAGUUUUCAAAAUUUAGUCUCCAAAUUGAGACUCCCUAGCAUUACUCAAAAAAAAAAAAAAAAUAUCAAUGAAUAUGGAAAAAAAUAUAUAUAAAACGGUUGAUCUCUAUUAAACCUGCUAAUGACCCGAAGCAUAAAGUACUUGCUACCGGUGAAAUAAACACUCGCAUUACUCAAAAAUUAAUAAUAUCAAUGAAUAUGGAAAAAAAAUAUAUAAAACGAUUGAUCUCUAUUAAACAUGCUAAUGACCCGAAGCAUAAAGUACUUGCUACCGGUGCAAUAAACACUCGCAUUUGAAGAACUCCUCUAUUGUAUUUGUAAUACAUAAUGGUAAUAUGUAUAUGAUCAGAUUUGUUUAUGCAUAGUUACCCUACUUCCUCUUGUGGAACUCCAGGUUGAGGAGUUAGGAGAUCUACAAGUUUGCUAAAGUGAACCACUCUAUCACACUGAGGAUUUGUUUGAUAAUGAUUUUGUUUGCAAUCUGGGAGAAGUAGUUACAAAUCUGCUAAAGUGAACCACAACAGUCAAUCACAUGACUAAGGGUUUGUGUGAUAAUCGUUUCGCUUUUUUGUAGUUUUCGCCUUUAGUGCUUGCUAUAUGGGAAAAAAAAAAAAAUAUAUAUAUAUAUAUAUAUAUGGAAAGAAAGAAGGAUGAAGGAAAAAUGGUAUAGUGAAUGUAGAUGAAAUAUACAAGGAAUGAUACACACUAAAAACAAAAAAUUUUAAGUUAUUUUCAUCUUCAAAAUUAUGUUUUCAUUCGUUGUUCUCUAUUUUUGAAUCACAAGUUUGAGUGACCAAAAUAGCCUAAGGGUAUAAAUGACAUUCGCAAAAUAUAGGAUGACUCAUCAUCACUCGGUAAGAAGUUGGUUAGUUGGAUCAAAGGUUAAUGUACCUUAGUUGAUAAGCAAAAUCACGAAGACUAAACUUAAUAAUUGAAACAUAAAUGGUCUUAUUUCUAAUUAUGUGCAAAAUGACUUUUUUAGAGGCGUUGUUUUUCUUUUUUGGACAAAGGUAAUUUUCAUUACCAAAAGAGCACAAUUACAGACAAAGAGGCCCAAAUACAUUGUAAACACAAAACAAAAAGUGAACCCCCAACACUAAACAAAAGCUCAACCCGAGAGAAGGGCCCAAAACAGAAAACCUUACAAGACUAACUUCCUCCGUCGUCGUCAAAGAACCGGCAGCCGACCACAAUCCAACAACCUAGGCCAAAGAUCUCACCAAACACAGCGCCAAAGAAGAAGGCUCCAUCUUCCUCCACCAAACACCACACAAAUUGAAACCGCAACCACCAAAGAAAGAAGCCAGAAGGAAAGAACUUUCCCCUAGCAAAAAAAGCCGAAAACGGCAUACAAUUGGAAGGUGGUGGUGUGUACACCAUAUGAGCAGAAGCUCUGCACACCUUCCUAGAAAACCUCGAAACACAGGUGGAAGAGAUGGUUGCAGAAUUGAACAUGUGUGAGAAUGAUGUAGGACAGAAGCAAAUGGAAAAGUAAAAAAAUGGCUGGAUUAGAGUCAUGGAGGUGGAAAAACUUGAGAGAGAAGAAGAAAAAGGAAGGUUGGAAGUGGGACUGUCAGAUCAAGACUGAUGAAAGGUUAGAGCGGAGGUUGCAUGGGGAUUACCAAAAAAGACGGCCAGAAAAACAUGGAGAAAGCCAAUCUCAUAGCUCGAUGUAUCCAGGACUCAAUCUACUAGUCACUCCAUUAAUGUUGAAUUAAAUACUCCAAUUUAUUUCCACACAAAGAAACAAAUCAGAAACGUAAGAAAAAAUUAAGACCACCGCAUGCUCUGCAUUUUCGGUUUCAUCUGGUAUGGAUUAUUGGAUUUUACUGAUAGAUCCAUGUUUUAAUUUGUGAAAUGUUAAGGAGAUUCUCUCAAAGUGACAUUUUUCAUGGACUUUCUGCCUCCUCAUGGUUUUGACACUAUUUUAUAAUGUUGGCACGAAAAUUUUGCUAAAAACACUAAAUGACGUAGAAUCCACGAAUAGUCUUACUUUUGAGAGAAUUUCCUUACUAUUUCUAAUUGAAUUUGAUUCAAAGUUGGGAAUAAAUGUGGAACAUCACACUAGGCAGUGGAAAGGGGCACAUGUUACACCUUAUUGAUGCACAAAACCGGAGGUCUUGGAACAACGUAAAUCCGAUCGUGAAUCUGCAUGAAAUGUAAAUAACACAAGAUGUAUCGUGGUUCAUCCCAAGGUUUGGGCUACGUCCACACUGAUUAUGUAUUUAUCUGAGAGGUGAGGGAAAGAACCUCUGAAUAUGAUAAGGGACGUGAGAGGGGUGAGAAGGCUUAAGAAAUGGCAUCCCCCAAUUGUGAGGGUGAUGGGUCCUUUUAUAGAAUAAUGACUCCUCACUUAUUACAUAUUUGCCAUUUCCUUUAUCACAUAAUUGCAUUUAAGUCCCCCGAGUAUUUGUACAAGAUCUAAAUACGAGGCCCUAAAUAUGGUAUAAACAGUAGUCCCCCAAGUCUUCGGUCAAUAGAGUCUUUUGGCUGGAGACUUGAAAUUCAGUUCAUGUGUGGGCCGAAGUAACUAGAUGUUGUCUUGAACUGAUGCUCGAUAUGAGGCGGUGCUCCAUCUGAAAUGAUGCUCUACUAGAAGUAGCACAUGCUGCAAGGUUGCUCGGCUCGUGGCUUAUGUUGCCUUGGUUGGCUCGGCUUGUGGCGUUGGGAGGUGAGGGAGUCCAUUUUAUAAAAUAAGGGUUCGCUCCUCAAUACAUAAAUGAUGGGCUAGAGUUGAUACUCGCGGCGAGGUGGUUGCUCAAUAGGCGGCGAUACUCUCUAAUGGUGGUAAGGGAGUCCCUUUUAUAGAAUAAGGGCUCGCUCCUCAAUACAUAAGUGAUGGGUUAGGAGUGAUGCUGGCGGCGUUGCUCUCUAAUGAAGGUGAGGGAGUCCCUUUUAUAAAAUAAGAGCUCGCUUCUCAGUACAUGAAUAAUGGGUGAUCUCUAAUGAAAGUGAGGGAGUCCCUUUUAUAGAAUAAGAGUUCGCUCCUUAAUACAUAAAUAAUGGGCUAAGUCCCCCAAGUAUUUUUCAUGAGGCCCAGUUGAGGCCCAAUAUAUGGUACAUAGUGUAGUUCCCCAAGUCUUCGUUCAAUAGAGUCUGUUGGCUGGAGACUUCAAACUAAAUCCAUAUAUGGGCCAAAAUGGCGGUUGUUCGGAUAUGGUAUUUGUAUACCUUGCACUGAAGCUUUGUAGGUGAAACUUUGCAAACUAGAGCUCUGUAAAUGAAGUUUUUAAAGCUAAUUGACAUAAGUGAUGUUCAUGAAUGUUUAUGUUGAUUGACAUGAGUGAUGCUCAUGGAUGUUGUCAUGAGUGAUGCUCAUGAAUGUUAACAUGAGUGAUGCUCAUAAAUGUUGACAUGAAUGAUGGUCAUGAAUGUUUAUGUAUGAUUGUUAUGAGUGAUGCUCAUGAAUGUUUAUGUAUGAAUGACAUGAGUAAUGCUCAUGUAUAAUUUGGAAUACUAGGCGUACUUUUGAUCACCUGGUUGGUGGCAUGAAGGAGAGUACGAGUUGUAUAUUUCAUCACCUGGUUGGUGGCAUGAAGGAGAGUACAUAUUGUAUAUUUCAUCACCUGGUUGGUGGCAUGAAUGGCUAGUUGCCAAAAUGAUAUUAGAGUACGGGUUCUACAUUUUAUCACCUGGUUGGUGGUAAUAGCGGCAGGUUGCCGAAUAAUUGUGGAGUACUGGGCGUACUUUUGGUCACCUGGUUGGUGGUAAUAGCGGCAGGUUGCCAAAUAAUUGUGGAGUAUUGGGCGUACUUUUGGUCACCUGGUUGGUGGUAAUAGCGGCAAGUUGCCGAAUAAUUGUGGAGUACUAGGCGUACUUUUGAUCACCUGGUUUGUGGUAAUAGUAGCAGGUUGCCGAAUAAUUUUGGAGUACUGGGCGUACUUUUGAUCACCUGGUUGAAGCUAUUUUGGGCUUAUGGGCAUUCGCCCUCCACAACAUGCCAGCCCAUUUAUUUUGGGCUUUUCCGGUUUUUUUUUUUUUUUACCCUCUGAUGGGGUUUAUACAAAUGUCUCUAAAAGAUAAGAAAAAUAAAUUACAUCAUACAUCUGUCAAAAAAGUAAAUCACAUCAUUAUGGGGGGUGUUUAUUCCUUACUUUUGCUUUCUCUGAAAUAUUCUCCCAACGACAUGAUCUUUUUUCUUUUUCUUUUUUGUUCCUUUACCCUGAUCUCUCCACCUCCAGGCACACUCACUUGCUUUUGCUUUCGUUUUUUGAUUUGAUUUUCCUUUUCUGAUCAAGUACCUGACAGCUUGGAAUAUAUUGUAAUCAAGUGACCAGAGAGUAGGACUAGUGGAUACCUCUCUUCUGUUUUUCUUUUCCUUUUGGCAUAAGGUAGACAAAAGUAAUAGUAGUAGACUUAUUAUUGAGAAAGCUUAUCUUCUUCAUGAGUGUCUCCACUGGUGGAUGAGAGGUAGCCUAUGUAAAAGUCUUCUUCUUGGCAAGAUCGCUAGAAGCGCCAGAAGCUUUUGUGGAAGAAUUAGAUGUAGCAGGCUGCGAAAGAAAUAAAUGCAGCAGGCUGCUGUGAGCUCUUAAGCUGCGGGUUGGCGAUAGCAUGGCUGCUACCACCACUUGAAUACGAAAGAGUAAGAUCCAUCUGAACGAAAUUCGCUCAUACCCAAGGCUUCAACAACUCCACUCUUAUCAUCCAUUGAAUUUCGAAGAAGACAAAGCAAAGACUCCCACAUAUUUCUAUUAAGAGAAUCCCCAACAAAAACUAGUCGCUUUCCUCUCAAUAGUCCCAACAUGUUCUUACCAUCUAACCUUGGAAGAUUGCAAUGUUUGAGUUGCCAUCUAUACUUUUCGUAGCAAUUAUCCGGCCUCUUAUUAAGAAAACAAUUGAAGGAUUCAUCAAUAAAAGGAUAAGAACCCGGAGCAUAAAGCGGAUACGAAUCAUCUCUCACCCACAUUCCAUCAAACAUGUCACAAUCAUCCCUCGAAAAUUCAUAACCGGGCUAAGUUUGAUUACUCUGCUUCUUAGAUUCAGACAAUGCCUCACUAGCAUCAUCACUCUCUAUCGAGGUCAAUGCCACUGCUUGCCCCAAAACCCCAUCAGAAUCUUUAGCAAAAGAUUCAUUUUUUCUUGAACCCUCCAGUUUCUCGGAAAAUCCCAUUUUCCCAGUUACUUGAAUCGUAGUGUUCUGGGACGAAGUCUGAUUGGAUUCUUAGGGUAAGAAAAGAAUUGCGUUUGGCAGUUGGGCACUAGCCAUAUCAGACUGCAAACCUCCACUCUCAUCUAAACGUAGGAAAUAUUCAGCUUUCCAGGAAAAUGGGUUUCCCGGGAAAGUUCAAAAGGGGUUUUGAAGAUGUUCUUGAAGCCAAAAGGGAAAGAGUAGCCAAAUGGGUUGAAAACCAGGAAGAAAGUUCAAGCGAUGCAGACGAACGAGAAGCCAUAGGCAAAGGCAGCGGUUUUUCUGGAGGGGAAGAAAAUUGGGGAAGAAAGAGAGGGUUUGGAGAAGGCCUCUGGUCUUGGGAUUGUGGGGGAAUGCUGGUGCUUUGUGGGUUUUGGGGUUGUCUGGGUUUUUGUGAUUUUGCAGAUUCACAGUGGUGAGAUUUGAUGAAAAAAUGAAAGAGAACUGACAUAGUUUUUAUGUCGUUUCCCACAGACGGCACCAAAUGUUGAUGCACAAAACCAGAGGUCUUGGAACAACAUAAAUCCGAUCGUGAAUCUGCAUGAAAUGUAAAUAACACGAGAUGUAUCGUGGUUCACCCCAAGAUUUGGGCUACAUCCACACUGAUUAUGUAUUUAUCUGAGAGGUGAGGGAGAGAACCUCUGAAUAUGAGAGGGGAUGUGAGAGGGGUGAGAAGGCUUAAGAAAUGGCCUCCCCUAAUUGUAAGGGUGAUGGGUCCUUUUAUAGAAUAAGGACUCCUCACUCAUUACAUAUUUGCCCAUUCCUUUAUCACAUAAUUACAUUUAAGUCCCCUGAGUAUUUGUACGAGAUCUAAAUACGAGGCCCUAAAUAUGGUAUAAACACACUUAAUCCCAACAAAUUUGGCACUUUAGUUGACUUCUUCUAUAAAACUUGAACCAUUCUCCUAUUGUUCACCACAAAACCUGAGUUUUCUUGUUUCAUCAUUUUCAAUAGGGUUCCUUCCCUUGAGAAUCUUUGCAUUUUUUACUGUGAGUAAACUGUGUAAAAUUUGAAUUUUCCCAAUAUAUUUGGCUUCGGUCAGGUGAUGUAGUGGCUUUGGUCGAUUAUGAUAACACUACUAAAAACAUUAUAUAUGAUAUAUGUUUUAUGAAAGGUUUUAUGGCAUGAUAGGUUUUCGGAAAACCUAUUACAUUUUUAGUCAAAAUGGUCCCUGAGAUUUGCAUGACACAUCACUUUGAUCCUGGAGAUUGAAAAUCAAUAGAAAUGGUCCCUGAGAUUGUCUACCAUCCAUUAUUUUGGUCAUUCCGUUAAAAACUUCAUUAAGUGUUCUGGAGCUCUUGGCCGAAAGUUUGGACAAUUUUCAAAGUUUCGUAACUUAAUCGUUUAUUAACCAAAUUCAAACCAUGAUACAUCAAAAUGAAGAUAGGAACGUUGAGAAAAAUAUUAUACCUAUUUAGAAGCCCAAUGGUUGUCGUAGAUGGCCGAAAAAUAGCCUGAAAGGUGACUGGUCCACCGGAAAACUGAAAAACUCGUUGGAAACUGGGUAAACUUUAAACGUUCAUAACUUCUUCAAAACUCAACAAAAUCGAGUGAUUCAAAAACAAAAAUCAUACUUCUCGACAAGAAAAAUAGAAUGAUACCUUUCUUGAUGGCUAAAUCAUCGUGCUUUGGCUGAAAAACGGCCCGAAAAUUAUUGUCUUGGUCUCGAGUUAGCCACUUUUAGGCCGUUUACGGACCAAACCACGACGAAUUAGUUAUCGAGAAAGGUACCAUUCUCUUUGUCUCAUCAAUAAUUAUGAUUUUUGUUUUUGAAUCACUCGAUUUCGUUAAAUAUUGAAGAAGUUAUGAACGUUUAAAAUUUACCUAGUUUCCAAUGAGUUUUCCAGUUUUCCUAGGGACCAUUCACAUUUCAAGCUAUUUUCCGGCCAUCUCGGUAACCAUUGGGCUUCCAAAUAGGUAUAAUCUUGUUCUACACUUUCCUAUCUUCAUUUUGAUACAUUAUGGGUCGAAUUUGGUUAAGAAACGAUUUAGUUACGAAGUUUUGAAAAUUGCCCAAACUUCUGGCCAAGAGUUCUGAGACACUUAACGGAGUUUUUAACGGAAUGACCAAAAUAAUGGAUGGUGGACAAUCUCAGGGACCAUUUCUAUUGAUUUUCAAUAUCAGAGACCAUUUUAACUAAAAAACCUACAUAUUAUUACUAUUGAGUUUUCAUAAACUUUGGGGGUUAGUACGUUGAUGAAUAACUGUUUCUGUAUUACUUAUAUAUCAACUUGGUCCACUCAUGUUUUGUUUUGUGCCCCCUCAAGAUUUAGAAUCGAGGCAUACAAUCCUGACGUUAGGGUACUCCCGCAUCGGCAUCUUUAAGUCCUCUCGGUGUAGGACCCAUCCCUUUGUUCAUUCAAUUUUAUAUUAUUCCUUUGUAGUGUCUUGGGUUAGUUAUAUGCUCUGAAUACGUUCCACAAUUGCAUAUUCAUUAUAAUUAAAUUUACAACUUUUAUUUAUGUCAGUUAUUUGUUUUUAGUUCUCAUGCAUCCUUUUAUGGUUUCGUCACCUUCGAGUGUCGGCCAGUACGUGUCUACCCCGAUGUUUGGAGGAUAUCAGGGUCGGGCGUGUCACAUAGGUACAUAAGUAUCGGUUCAUAAGUUUUGGUAACAAUAUAUCGAUACAUAACUUUUAAAACGAAUGUAUCUGUACAAAUGUAUCGGUACGUAACUAUAGUAUUUAAACAUACAUAUGUACGUAAUAUGCAUAUACAUAUAUAUGGAGAAAUUCACGCACAAUAAAAAAAUAUAUGAUAAUAUAUGACUUCUUUUAUUAUGGAAACUUAACAAUAACCAUCAAUGAUAAAUAACAUUUUUAUUAUUUAUGGGAAUCAAUAUAUAACCUACAAACAAAAAAGUCAAUAAUUACUACAACCUAUUUAAUAUUAAAAAAUUAUAAUUAAAUGCCAAGGAUUAGAAUGAUUUUUUAACAAAAUUUAAUGAAAAUGAUUUGAAAAUUUUGAGUUUUACCGAUAAGGACAAAAUAAAGGGUAAAGUGAAUAAUACCAUGAUUGAUUUUUUGGUGUAAAAAUAUGAUUUUUCGUUAAAGUGAAUAGUAUCAUGAGUUUUUUUUGUUAAAGUUACCUAGUUUUUAAUCUUAGACAAGAUUUUAUUCAAAAAGUAAUCUUAGACAAGAUUUUAUUCAAAAAGUAAUCUUAGACAAUGAUUAGAAUAUAAUUUUAAUUUUUUUUUAACAAUCUACUGUGAGAGACAGAGAGAGUAGGCUAAGACUAUAAGAGCUAGUAAUAAUGUAGUUCAAAUUUACUUUUAUAAAAAAUCAAACCUAAAAUUUAUCAUUUAUAAGUGAAAAAAAUAUCACUAAUUGUAGUAUUUAUCUUUUAAACAUUAUACACAUAGGUAACUAUGUACUUUUCCCGUGUGAUACACCAUUGGAAGUGCUUUUCGGAACAGCGUGCAUGUCGCUUUUGAGAUAAGAUCUUGUCCAAAUGUCCAUGGCUUCGUGACAGCUGUGAGAAAGUGACGAUCAACCUACAUGCAAGUUGCUUGAGGGAGCACAAGUGCUCUGCCAACUUUGAGUAACUGACGAUCACAUACGGAAAAUGAUUCCGGAUCAUUUUCUUAGGAAUUCUGUAAUCGUAUAUUAUGUGAUCAGAAAUUAUUUAAAAUUUAAAAUUUAAAAUUCAAAUAUAAAUAGUACAUAACGAAAACUAACUUCAUGAUAUAUGAUGAACAAACAUAAUUACUAUGUAUGAUGAACGAACAUAAUUACUAAAUCCCUUGGAAAAUGAUCAGCCGAGGAUCAUUUUUCCGUCACAUACAUGCAUGUUGGCAGAGCACUUUGAAUUGGGGCCCUAAAUAAGUCUUCGAAUUGGCUCUAAAGUAGUAAAAUGUACUGACACGUGGCGCUUUAUACAUUAAUAUGUAGAAAAAAUUCUGCUAAAUACAUGAAAAAUAUAUGGGUAAAUUACAAAAAAACUACCAUAAUUAUUGAUUUUACGACAUUUUUAUACCUCAUGUCAGAGCUCUGUCAGUUUUUCUGUUACUUUUCUUGUUAAAUGCUGACGUGAACCUCGGCGUCAAUCACAAGAGACUGAAACCGUUUGUAGGGUUUGUAUGGACGACAACGACAAGGAGGCUUGAGCUCACGGCGUCAAUCAUAAGUGUCUUGAGAUUUCAAAAUUGGGGAAAACAGAGAAAAUGAGAUGGAUUAGGAUCUGCAGGUACAUUAGUCGAUCAUCCCCUCUCCAAAGCAUUUCCGGCGACCUGCCAACGGGGACCAGCGGAGUGGCAGCGAUUGAAUAGAAGGACGACGAUGGCGGUGAAGACGGAGACGAACAGCGCGAGGCAAUUGAAGAAACGACAGAGAGUUGGCUCUGCAAUGACGCCAUUGGAGAGAGGGAAACCCUAGGAAGAGAGCUAAGAGAGGAGAAAUGUACUGGUUUUGAAUAGCCUGAUACUACAGUGAGAGGAGAGGAGACACGUGGGUGAUUGAAAGGUGCGAGGGAAGCUCGCGUGUGUUUGAGAUUAGAAUUAGGACAGCUAGUUGUGCGGGAAGUUGAGGAUCGCUUUGGCGCCCCGAAGCUUGAAUGCUGCUCGAUCGUAAGCCUUGGCUGCUUCAAUCGCCGUGUCGAACUGGAUCCACUCAGUUUUGUUGGGAAGCGAGAUUAUGAGUGCUGGCUUUCGGAAUGGGUUAGCGGGUUUAGGUUGCAGGGAAGGGGAAAGAGAAGGAAUAUGGGUUUUGGAUUUGGGUUGCGGGAAAGGGGUCGGGGAAGAUAAGGUGUUUGGUUUUUUGUUUUUUGUUUUGUUUUUUUGUUUUUUUAAGGGUAAAUUAUUAUUUUUAUUAAUUUUUUAAUAAAUUGUGGAAUCCGAAUCAAGCCAUAUCAUCAUUUAACCGAGAAAUUCACAACCAACCCAAUGAAUGUAUAAUGGACCAAAUUUUAGAGAUGUGGUAUGACAUUGUCAAUUUUAAUGGAUAAAGUAUGAUAGUGUAGUGAGACGAGGUAAUUUUUUGUCAUUUACCCCAAAUAUAUUUAUGCAUCAAAUACAAUUAAAAAUUAAUAUAAAAAAAAUCAAAUACAAUUAAAAAUUAAUAUAAAAAAAAUAGAGAUAUACAAGCAACAACUACGCCUGUUCCACUACAUCAGCAUGCUUUCUAUGUCAUGUAUUUGACUUUUAUCCUAUUUAUAAGAGAAAUAAAUAUAUUAAAAAAAAUUUGGAGCCCCAAAAAAUAGGACGUCCUAGGCGGUCGCCUUACUCGGAAGAUUAUGCCGCGUAUCAAAAUAAAACUAAGACAACGUUGUCCACAAAAUAGAAACAUUGGGUUGGGUUUCAGGUCGUCUUCUUAGAAUCGCACGAGGCCCCUCUGAGUAGUGAGUACUAGUAAGCAGUAACAUACUAACAUGGAGCAAUUCAAAGGGCAGCCUCGGCUUCCGAAAUUCGCCUUGCCGAAACGGUACGACUUAAGGCUGAAGCCAGACCUCAAAGCUUGCAAAUUCAGCGGCUCCGUCGCCAUUCUCGUCGACAUCGUCUCCGAGACCCGGUUCAUCGUCCUCAACGCUGCCGAGCUCUCCGUCAAUGCCGUUUCCGUCUCUUUCACUCACACAGAUUCCUCCAAUGUGUAUUAUAUACUACUGAUCUCAUCUGAUCAUCCAUGCAAUUAACUAGGAUGCCUAAUUUGAAAGCAGACACUCCUCGAUUAAUUGUUUUAAUUUCCUUUAAGUGCUCCUGCUGUUCUGUUCAUGCUUUCAAAUAAUUAAUAACUGGAUGGAUUGAUUAUAUAAAUUCAAGUUAUGAAGCACCGAUCAAUUUAUUCAAUCCUGAAUCGAGGAAACACCAAAACACAUAUAUAUGUACUCUCCGUCUCCGAUACGACCACCCGAAACGAGAGUGUUUUUUACCCUACACAUUAAACUUUGAAGUGAGGGUUGCGUUCAGGCUUCUAUGGAUCCACAUGCUAAAGUAUUGCUGACGGAGGUGGAAAUUUUAUUAGAGCUCAAGAAUUUAUCGGGGUUUACUGCUUGUUAGGAUUUCUACUUGUUGGGAUAGGAAACAGGUGGAAUGACGGAAAAGAGAGAGAACAGUUUAGUGGGUGACUUUUGAAUUCUUUAUCUUUAUCCAAAAAUUAGUUUUACAUUUUUAAAUCUUUUCAAAAAUUAAAGGGCAUCAUUUAAUUUCAAGUUAACCAGGGUAUUAUACAGGACACGUGGCAAGCUCAUUAGGUGAUGGUGAGUAGAAAUGUUCCCAUUUAAUUAAUGUAAUCAUUUCAAUAUUUACUAUGUUUUAAAAUGAUUUGUUAUUAUCACUGAUUUGGUAAUAUUCUUUUUUAUUUGGAAGUGUUCGAAUCUCGUGAAUAGCAAAUUCGAUACCAAAUUAGGUUGCUCAUUGUAUGACUUAGUCGAACUCCCCCUCCCCUAGUGUAAAAAUAUCGAUGUACUAAAAAAAAAGAAUUUUUAUUGACACUCCAAAAAAUAUCAUUUGUACUCCAAAUUUUCUAUAAUUAAAAAAAAUACAUUGAAGUAUAAAAUGAGAUUUAUGGAGUGCUAAUAACAUUUUCCAUUUUAAAUAUUUUUAAGGUUAAAAAUAUAAUUUUAAUAUUUUUCAAUUGUAGCAUAAAUUUUGAGUUUUCAUGAAUGGCCGAACUCCCCUCCCAAAUCCCGGCUCCCCUAUCCUUGCUACAUUUUUUUUUUGAACAAACGAUAUUAUUUACAUUGAGGGGGAGAGGUGGGUUUAGCCUCACAAUGGGCUAGCAAUAAUGUGGUUCAAACUCACUUUUGACGAGACUCGAACCUAAGAUCUGUCACUUACAAGAGAAGAGAAGAGAAAUAUUAUUAAACCGUAAUACUAAGUGGCAUUCUUGCUACAUAUUAAGAUGCUAAUUUUUUUUUUUUAACAAACGAUAUUAUAUAUACACUAAGGGGUACGGGAGUGAGCUAAGCCUCACCCUCACAUUGGGCUAGUCAUCAAUAAUGUGGUUCAAAUUCACCUUGGCAAAAAUCGAAUAUAAAACCUAUCACUUACAAGUGAAGAGGAAUAUCACUAACCGUAAUACUAAGUGGCAUUAAGAUGCUAAUAAUAACAUUAAUUUUCAACUUUUACUGCCUUGUUUGGAGUACAAGACAAAAGUCAUUGACAUAACCGGAGGAAUUAAAGGCUUAAGUGGCUAUUGAGAUGAGAUUUUGCUUUUGGAGUUUGGGGAGACAUUCCGAUUGGAAGGGGAGUUUUGGCUAUUUUAUUUGAAGGAAUUCUGGAUGACAAGAUGCAGGGAUUCCAUAGAGUGUAAUGCUCCUUGAGUUCCGGAUUCGUUAUCCUGUUUGUUUAUCAACUUUUGAUUUUUCAAUGUGCCUAUUAUAUUUCAGUGGUAAAAUUUGAUUUAUCCUGUGCAGUAUGUAUGAGCAUAACGGUGAGAAGGAAUAUAUGGCUGCUACACAAUUUCAACCGGUUGAUCCCAGGCGGUGCUUUCCGUGUUGGGAUGAACCUGCUUGGAAGGUCGCUCUCGAUUUUUCUCUCUGAUAGUUGAAUUAGUUGAAUAAAUCUUGAUAUAUGUUUGUAUCUAGUCAUUUUGUAAAAUCAAUAUGGAUACUUUCGCACUGCUUAACCGCAGCUUUGAGUCUCAGAAGAAAGAUAGGUUUUUAUGGGAUAAGAAAUCAUUCCUUAAGUUAUUGUUAGAUUGUUUUACUAGGAUUGUUUGAAUUGACCCCAUUUAUUCUUAUCGAUUGGAACUUUGAUUGGCAGGCUACAUUUAAGAUUAGACUGGAUGACGUUCCAUCUGAAUUAAUUGCACUGACCAACAUGCCCAUUAUUGAAGAAAAAGUGGAUGGACAUCUGAAGACUGUUUUGUAUGAAGAGUCACCUAUCAUGUCGACAUACUUGGUGGCCAUUGUUGUUGAGUUGUUUGAUUACAUUGAAGAUCAUACAUCUGAUGGUAAAACUCAUACACAACAUCUCUUGUUCUGUAUUUGUUAGUAACCGUUUCUUGACAGUGUCAUAUUCCAUCUCCUCACAGGAGUCAAAGUGCGGGUAUAUUGUCAAGUUGGUAAAGCAAACCAAGGGGCGUUUGCUCUGAACUUUGCUGUCAGCGCUCUUGAAUUUUACGGAGAGUAUGUUUAUGGAUCUCAAAAUAACUCAAUGAAUCCUUUCUCUGAUUUUUGUCCCCUUCCGUGCUUAUGUUCAAUUGUUUAUCAUUUGAUAUGAAAUCAAUGACAAAAAAGUUCUACAGUUACUUUGCUGUGCCAUACCCCUUGCCAAAAUUAGAUAUGGUUGCAAUCCCUGAUUUUUUUGGCGCCAUGGAGAACUAUGGUUUAGUUACAUACCACGAAACGGUUUUGCUCUUUGAUGAACAUAACUCUUCAGCUGCCAACAAGUAAAUGGUAACAUACACAUACUGAAUGUCAAUCUUGUUUUCAUAAUUUAGCUUCAUUCUAGCUAUUGUUUUUUAACCUUAAUCAUUUCAUUUUGUUUUUGUGGAAGGUUGCAACUGUCGUGGCACAUGAAUUGGCACACCAAUGGUUUGGCAAUCUUGUGAUGAUGGAAUGGUGGACGGAUUUAUGGCUAAACAAGGCAUUUGCAUCAUGGGUAUCACUUUCUUCAUUUGUUGUACUUGUUAUUUUAUAUGCUUUUAGACUUAAAAGUUCAUGUUUUGACGUCAUUAGGUGAGCUAUUUAGUUAUAGACAUCUUGUUCCCAGAGUGGAAAAUAUGGACUCAGUUUCUUCGCAUUGAAGUUAGUGGGGGUCUUAAGUUGGACGGGCUUGAACAAUCUCAUGCCAUUGAGGUACUUCAAAUUGGACUAGGUCUUCCACAGAUUUUUUAUUCUGUCUGAAGUUUUAUUUUUCGCGGCAUAGGACCUUGAUCACCUGCAUAACAGGCUUUAAAUAGAAAUAUGCACGUAUACUUUCACAUUUGUAGUAUUUCUUGUACACCUUAUUCCCUUUUUUUCGCUAGGUGGAUAUUAAUCGUGCUUCCGAGCUUCAUGAAAUAUUUGAUGCAAUAUGUUAUGAUAAAGGAACUUCUGUUGUUAGGAUGCUACAAACCUAUCUCAGUGCCAAAUGCUUCCCGGUUGGUCUUUUGGUUUGUUAGCAAUUGUCCUUGACGACUAAACCAACAAUCUUAUUUAUGAGAUUUUUUUACAUUUAUUCCAUGGAAAUUUCCGAAAAAUAAAGGCUUCAAGGCAUGCAGGAUUAAAAGAGGAUAUAUCCUGAAAAAUGAUUAUUCUUUGAGAUUUUUGUUCACUCGUCUUCUGGUUCGUAUUGGUUAUCAAAUACGUUUCUCAUGAAAGUUACAGAGUUAACCGCCUGCUAUUUUUUCAUGCGUCCAGAGGUCACUUGCUUCGUACAUAAAAAAGUAUGCUUCAUCAAAUGCAAAGACAGAAGAUUUAUAGGCUGCCCUUUAGGAGGGAUCGGGUGAACCAGUGAACAAGCUAAUGAAUUCAUGGACACAACAAAAGGGUUACCCUGUUAUAUCUGUCGAAGUCAAAGAUCAGAAAUUGGAAUUUGAUCAGGUUUUUCCAUAUGUUGCCUUCCUUGAAAAUCUUGUUUGACUAUCAGACGAAAUUCUAAACGAACAUCUCAGAGGUCUAAUGCACUUUUUUAAAGUUUUUAAAUCGUUCGUUUAGGUUUUAUUCCAUGGUACAAAGAUCUAAUAAGUUGAUUAAUAAAUGGCAGACACAAUUCUACUUGAGUGGUUCCCAAGGCAACGGGCAAUGGAUUGUGCCAAUAAUAUAUUAUGUUGUGGCUCCUAUGAUGCACGCAAGAGCUUCUUGCUACGAAAUAAGUCUGAAACUCUUGACGCAAAGGAAGUUUUGGGUUGCUCCAUUGCAAAGACAAGAUCGAGUUGGAUAAAAGUCAAUGUGUAUCAGACUGGUUUUUACAGGGUGAAAUAUGACGAGGAACUUUUAGCUGCUCUUGGAUAUGCUAUAGAAAAUAAACACUUGUCUGCAACUGACGGAUAUGGUAAUCACGUUUUUAUGCUCACACACUUGUUUAUCUCUUCGAUAGUGAAAUUGGAAGUAUUCAGUUCAGCUUUCAUCAUUUCUUUUCCUUCAACAGGAAUUUUGGAUGACUCGUUCGCCAUUUCUACGGUUUGCUUGCAGUCUUUUGCUUCAUUGCUUACCUUGUUGGGUGCUUACAGAGAGGAACUUGACUAUAUAGUGUUGUCAAAUUUGAUCACUGUAAUGAUCACCUCUGCAUUGUGUUAAUUUUCUGGACUUAUAGCCUUAGUGUAAUUCAUGUUUUCACCUUUCACAGAUAUCUUAUAAGCUGGCAAGAAUUGCAGCUGAUGCUGUACCGGAUCUACUGGAUCUUAUUAAUCAGUUCUUUCUUAGCCUUUUUUAGUACUCUGCAGAGUAAGCUUGUUCUCUUUUUUUUUUCCCUCAACUAGCCAAGUACCUAAAAGGUCAUACCCAGUGCACAAGGCUCCCGCUUUACGCAGGGUCUGGGAAAGGUGAAUGUCGGCUAGCCUUACCCCCAUUUUAUGGAGAGGCUGCUCCCAAGUACCUAGCUAGAUAAAAAUUCUUUACGCAGACAUUGGUUCUUUAAUGAAUAAAAAUGGGUGUCCAGUUGGUACUGCCUACAAUGAUAUCGUUACAUUAUUUCAUGGCAUAUCGACAAAUUGGUAUUCAUGCAUACUGUCUAGGUAAAUACGCUUGUGUGAUGAUAAGAGGGCUGGAGCAAAAUGUUUUAACACUCCCAAACUAUCCACAAUUUUGCUUCUUUCUUUUCGUUUAUUUAUAUAUUUAAAUUUGGUUUUGUUUCCAGGAAGCUUGGCUGGGAGCCUAAACCGGGUGAGAGCCAUUUAGAUGCAAAGUUCAGAGAAGAAGUUUUAAUUGCCCUUGCUGUGUUUGGACAUGGCCCGACAAUAAACGAAGCAAGUAGGCGUUUUCAUGAAUUCUUAGAUGACAGAAAUACGCCUCUUCUUCAUCCUGACAUAAGAAAGGUUUGUUUUGUUGUAAACCAUUAAUUAAACACCUUUUAAUUCUCUGUUGAUCAUCAUUAUUAGUAACUCUUAAUUCUUGCACUGCAGGCAGUGUAUGUGGCAGUAAUGCAAAGAAUGAACAUGUCUGACAGAUGGGGCUACGAAUAUCUUCUUAGAGUUUACAGAGAGACUGAUCUGAGCGAGGAGAAAUCUCGCAUUUUAAGUAAUACUACUGAUUAAUUUGUACAAUUAAGGAUGUUGAUCCAACAUCUGAGUUUGUUAUGUCGUUGGAAUAAUAAUGUAUCUGUUUGUGCCUGUAGGAUCACUAGCAUCUUGUCCAGAUCCGAACAUAACACUGGAAGUUCUCAACUUUUUGUUGACUUCUGAGGUAUUUCUGAUUUUGUCUCUCUUAAUUGCAGGUUUAAAUUGUAAUUAGGUACCACAACAUUAGAGUAUCUCAAACCAAUUGUGAUUGACGAUACUGGGUUUAAUCCCAUCGAUUGCCAUCGAUGUAUAUAGGUACGCCAUCAGGAUGCUUCCGCUGUGCUGUCCUCAGUUAGUAGGGAAGGACGGGUAACAGCUUGGACGUGGCUGAAGGUAACUCUCAAUACCACUAGUUUCUAAUGAGCAUGCAUACUAUGAAAUGUACGUACCCACAUUCUAUGAAAUGUACGUACCCACAUUCAUGGAUUUGGUUUCUUUCCUGGUCUUGUUAAUAUGGUUCAUUUUGCCUUCGGGGAUGAUAUCCGAAACACAGGAUAAUUGGGAGCACAUCUCAAAAUGUGUUCUGGAUUUCUAAUUAUUCAGAUUGUCAGUGAAAUUGUUUCACCGGUUCGUUCUCUCUCUCUCUCACUCUCUCUAAACUUUUAAUUGUUCUCGUAUCUGGGGCCUUGUAUCCUUGUGUAAUUACCUUCCUUGCUACGCAGCUAGCGUCAUUUGAGAAGGUUAAAGAUGUAGAUGAGUUCUUCAAAGUCCAUCGUAUCCCCUCGAUAACUAGAACCUUGAAGCAGAGCGUUGAGCGGGUGUGUUGAGGAAAACUGAGAGUACACUGAGGAUCUAACUCAGAAAUUUCACUGUAAAUAGACUUUACCUUGUGGAAAUAUUCGGCAAUCGUCAUGUCUUGUUGGGCCACUGAUAACAACUCGUUCUCAAGGAACUGGAGUCUUGUAUCGUUCCUCUUUGAAAAGAGUGUGGCGAAGGUAUCCCACGCUUUUUUCGGUGUCUUAGCCUUCCGUAUGUGCUCCAACAUGUCAUCCUCGACUACGGUUUUUAGGGCGAACAUGGCUUUUCCUGCCUUGAUCUUCCACUUUUGCAGAGCGCCGUUGGUGUCUUAUUCCGGCUGCGUAACUUCAUUACCGUCGACGACAUCCCAAAGAUCUUGGCCUUGUAGGUAAGACUCCAUACACGUCGCCCAUGUGUUGUAAUUGUUGUUGUUCAACUUUUUUUAUUCCUCCAACAACUUGAAGAUCUCCCAUCGUGUCGGCAGAACUUCGAUAAGCCGAACAAAACUAGUCAACAAUCUUGCGAAGUACUAAACUUCUCACGAUUCUAAAAUGCUUCACUAGAGACGGUCUCUAAUCGUACCGCUCUGAUACCAAUUAUUGAGGAAAACUCAGAAUACAUAACUCUAACACAAGUGUUGAAAAGACAACACAAGUAAACAAAUUACUUGUAUUAUACACACAAAAUAUUACAACACUCACAAAGACAACUUUAAAAGCAAUGACACUCACUUGUUUUUUAGAGACACACUUUAAAUCACUCACACUCCUACAAAACUAUUCUUACUUCUUCUUGAUUGGUUCUUUCUUGAUUGAUUGGUUACAUAGCACCACACCCAUAUUUAUAGGCAUGUUUGCCGACCUCACUAGCACUUUCUAGUGCAUAUUCAUGCACACACUGCACCGACAUACAAGCCCUUCUUAAUUGCCGACUUUAUUACUUGGCUAAGAAUGCCCAUCUAGAUUAUUCUUUAGUGUUUUAGAUUACUCUAGAAUUUGGUUUGUUAACCAACUUCUUAUUCUAGAGUUAUGUAGGAAUUUCUUCACAAAUAAACUAGGCUUAAUUAAAUAUGGGCCUUUUGGGCUGGUGUUGAUUCUUCAACAGGGUGCGAAUCAAUGCCAAGUGGGUUCAGAGUGUUAAGGGUGAGAAAGAUCUUGCCGAUGUUUUGAAGGAGUUGGCAUACAGGAAAUACUAGCUUUGAUAGAAAAAAUGGGUCUGGAUUUUCCUCGGUUAUUAUGCAAGUUACAUAUUUUCCAAAAGAAGAAUAAUGGGACAUGGAUAAAUAUAAAUGCACUGUCAAAUUAUAAUACUAUAUUUUCGAGACACAUAGUUUUUUAUCUAUUUCAUAGAGGGACAAAACUUAUCCAUAUGGCAGGUGAUGUCAUGGUUGCUUUUUUAAUUGUCGUAUUUGCAUUAUUAGAGUUACUAAACUAGACAGCUAUAUCGGCCAAUCGAUAUGCUGACCUCACUCGGAGUGCGUUGGUGUGAAAGUUGAGAAUGCAAACCCUACGUGCUAUAACCGAGAGAACUAAAAAAUCGAAUGAAACAAGUGACUUGCAUGUGAAGAAAGUGACAUAUUAGGGUUUAGGUGUCGAAGGGGAUGCAUGCUUAUGAAAGGGACUGCAAGUUUUGCACAUAAUUAAUCCCAAAAAUUGGUGCGUUAGUUCAAAUUACGGUUAAACUUUCCACGUCCGAAGAAAUAUUUAAGCAGUGUCGACAGAGGUGAAAAAAGGAGUGCCUGGAGUGAAGAUGAGUAUCAUUUCCUUUGUCGUCGUCUUUGAGGAAUUCAGGUGGGCAGGGGAGAGAUCCGUCAACACAAGCAAUCAAACGGUGGCUCUUCAAAACUAGAACGAUCUCAGGAAGCAGAAAGGAAGACGGUCAGCAGCAGGAGGAUUGGUAGAAAUGGUUGACGCGGUGGGACACGCUUGCAAGGGUAAGCAGGAUCGGAAAAAAAGACGGUGUGAAAGAGGCGUAGGCAGAGAAGACGACUGAAGUGAACGGCCUCGAUAACUCAUCAGAGGCAUAAGGUGUGUAUUAUAUUAUCAUGCUGUACAAUGAAUACAUUUGAUACAUGUGAUAUAUUGAGUUGAUGAGAUACAUUUGUACAAUCGAAGACUAAAAACAUCUGAUACAAUGAAUGAUGAUUCUAUCGUUUUAACACCUGGCAGGUGACGAAAGAAUUGUUUGUCAUAAGCUCGACUACAAGUACGCUGUCUCUGGAAAGUGAUGACAACAUGAACAAUAAAGCUAGCAGUUUUCAAUGUGCAGAGACAUCGAAAUGGAACCCAAAGCACGCUGUCUUCAGAUUUCUCAAAGUUCAGCCACGAACCAUUGCCAUCUGCCAUUUUCUUUUCGAGGACACUAUUGGUCUGGUUCAAGAAAUCAGGAGCUUACUAUCCUUGAACCCGUCAGUUCUACCUGGUCACUUAGCAUAGUGUUUCUAUUCCAGGUGGUUCUUCUGUGCUCACUACAUUCAGCAACAGAUGACAUUCUCAGAACUGAACAUUUUGGACAGCCCCAACCUUGAUCACUACGUUAUGAAAACCAGUGCAUUAUCACAUAGUGCAUCAUAAAACUUUGCAUACAAAAGCUUGAAGCAUAGCCGCCCGUAGACCACUUUUGGAUGCUAUUUUUCCUUGGAACAUACUGAGAGAGGAUCUCACAAGUUCAUAAACCUGAGCGACCGCUCUGCAAAUUUUCUUCAAGAACUUCUAGAUGAUGUGAGCCGAUGGCGGACAUAAUUGCAAAAUUGAACUUUGACUGACAUGCUCAUAAGUCACAGUGCAGUCCAGCAUCUUUCCAAGGAAAGCAUCGGUUAGCCAGAAUACAUAGUGAAUUUCCCUGUGUAUUAUAUAUAUCAUCAGAACAUGUAAAAAAAAAAUAAGAGCUGCAAAAUGACUAGAAAACAUGCCGUAGAACAUUUCUUUUGACAACAAGAAGUACAUAGAUUGGUAGUAAGGCCAUCACUCACAGCCAUCCAAUGCAAGAAAGUUUUGCUUUUUCAGAUCAACAGCAAGAACACACCUUGGUAAAUCUAUGAUUCAGGCACAACAGCUUUACCUUUAUAUUAGUCGCCCUGAAAAGGUUGCAAGGAACCCCACGAUCUUCCAACUUUCAGUUUGACAUGCAACGGAACUGGACAACGAGUACUUAAAUUAGGUACAGCAAACAAAUGUCCUCAAAUUAUCGAGCAUUAAGCAAUGUUCCAGAAACUUUAGAAAUAUACCACGAAGCGAAAUAGCAUUUUCCAUGCUCCUCUGUAGCAGCAAAGCAGCCUCCUUUAUCACAACAGGAUCAACUUCCAGUACUAAUUCAUCAUGCACCUGGUUAGAAACAACCAACAAACAUUGUUACAUGAGUUGCCUUGUAAAUGAAGCAAAAUUAUAUUUAAUUAACAAAGCUAACAAGAUGCUAAAUAUUUUAGUUUCUUAAUAUCUUCCUCUACAUUUCGAAUUGACCAAAGAACAUAAAAUUAUAGAAUUGUAAACAGAAUUUCCAAAACCAACCUGUAAUAAAAUUCGGCAGCGGCCCUUCAGUACGUGUAACUUUGUUGCAGGGUGAGAAGAAGAAUCAGGCCUUUCAACACCUUCAACUAUCACGGAAUAUAUAUAUUUAUCACUGCAAUCUUAAUUAUGUCAGCAGCAGAUCCCUGUAAAAGGAAGACAUCAGAGAAAAAUACUACACUUCAGUGAUUACCUUUAAACACCCACACUCCUCAUCCCCACAGAAGGGAGGGAAAAAGUCAUACCUGACUGACAUAUAGAAUUCACAGCUUCUCUGAGCCUUUGACUUUUCUUUACUAUUCCCAAGUUUUAUUUUUGACAAAAAGCGCUUUCUUCCCUUAGGGUUUUGAUAAGUAUUUAUCAAAUAUAGCCAAAAAUGAAUCCUUAAUUUCAAAAAUGUCAUUUUUUAUAAAAAAAUUUCAAAUGUAUCCAAAAUUCCACUUAAAUAGACGCAAAUACCCUCAAAUUUAACAAUCAAAUAAAUUAAAGGUUUUUUAGCCAAAAUGAUUCGUGACAUUGACAUAACUCAUUAAUAUGGUCCUUAACAAUUAAUGAUAAUCAAUAGUAGUGUUCUUGAAUUUGUUAUCAGUAAUCAUUUUAGUCUUUCUUUGAAUUUAUCCAUUGUGAUCAUUUUAGUUUUUUCGUGAAAAAUCUAUCAAUUACUCUGUUAGCGUGAUGAUGUGGCACCAUGUGGGUUUCACAAAUACAAUCAUAUAACGACAUGUGGAUUAACUUUAAAAACUAUUUUUUUAUAUUUAAAACUAAAAAUGAUAUUAGUAAGAAAAAAGACGUUGACGGCAUGAUUGAAAUUCUACUACUCGCACUUGCGGUAACCGCAGUGGGGCUCAAUGUCAGUGAUGAGGGGUCGAAGGGGAUAGGGUUGUGGUGGAGUGUAGAAGCGAAGGUGAAAUUGGACCGAAGCUUGAGGCAACAGUAGCUAAAACGCCUUUAAUUUAUUUAAUUGUUAAAUUUGAGGGUAUUUGUGUCUAUUUAAAUGAAAUUUUGGAUAUAUUUGAAAGUUUUUAUAAAAAGUGACAUUUUUGAAAUUAAGAGUUAAUUUUUGGCUAUAUUUGAUAAAUAAUGCACAUAAUGAACAGUUGAAUAGCUUCAAAGAAAUGUUUACAGCAUUGUAUUACAAGGGAACUAACAGACUCUUCUGGAAUCCCAGUCCAUCUAGCCGCUAUCAUGGUGAAGACAUCACCAUGGGAUUACUAAGGAGUUCAAUGAGUGCAGAGUCUUUAGAGAAUGUGCCAUCAGCCGCAAUUCUAUCUGAGAAUAAUCUGCAGUUACAACAAUAAAACAAUUAACGUACACCAUAGAGUCAUAAAUCCCAUCCCCUUCUCCUAGUUAAUAUCCCACAAAAAAUUUCCUAGUCUGAAUAUAUGACAAUUCUGUACCAACCCUCCCCCACAUCCUCAUCUACUCGAGAAUUUUGUUGACUUUUAUGGUAUAAAUAUAAUAAUUGUUAAAGUUCUUUGAAUUAGCUGGGUUUCUAUGCAAGUAAGAAAUCUGAGAGAAUAGAGAAAGAUGCAAUAUGAAGAAAUGCUCUGCUCACUCUCAAAGUCUGAGAGGUGAUAUUUUCAUAUAUAUCUCACAGAACACACGCACUAAGGCAUAAGUACAUAACUGCUAGCCUUAGCUGGAUACACACAACCAACAAUACAAUCUCAGCCUUACACUUGUCAUAAUCUAAGACUAAGUGAAUAUACAAUUCAAAACAAGGCUUAUUUACUUUAACUUUACUUAGCUCACAGCUUAUACACUAAUAAUAAUAACACACAAAUGGCCUUCAAAUACAAGAGCAAGCUGAUCGUUACCUGAGUAGGAAUGAAGUAAUCGCGAGCAUUGAUGUUCAAUUGAUCAACAUCAGUUUCGUUUCCAUUUCCAUCCUUAUAUAUUUUAAAGUCAACCAUAUGUUCAACACACUGCAUAAAUCAAAAAGAACAAAAUGUGAUAAGAUAGUAAUGAUUAAAUUUUGUUAACGACUGAAGGAGAGGGAAGAGAGAAUAAAACGACGCAUGGGAAACCCAAACCUGGCGAUUUGGUUCCUCCAUUAAAGGCGACCAGUUGCUGUUGAUGUUUGGAGCCAAUGACCAUGUAAUGUGUACUAAUUCUGUGUCCUCACAGAGCCUACCCAGUGAACAAAUUGAUACCAAUGUACAGUUUAAAAGUUUUGCCAACGUACGAUGCUCCUUAAUGACGGGAAUUAUGGGAUGCUCAUCCCUGAAAUGAAAUCGAUUAUAGGAUGCUCAUCCAUCAAAACAAUGAGAGGCUGAUGCCACAAAAUCAAGAGAUUCAAAUGUGCAAGCAAGAAUACUUUAAUACCAUCUCCUUCAAGUGUUCAAUAUUCAAACAAAACAAUCUAAAUGGGAUGGAAGCCUCUAUGGAAUCAAAUAACUAAAUGGUAAUCCUAUUCGCUUGAGUAUUUAUAUUUCAACAGCUUAUUCACACCUGAGAGGGGGUAAGGUUACGAAGUACGAUAGAAGAAUAGAAGUCUCGCUAAUACCUUAAUAAAUCCAAGCAGUGCUUGUCCGUACUUGGGUGUUGUUUCCCCUUGUUGCGGCCCUCUGGUAUGGGCAGCUUUUAAGUGUGUUGUGAUUGACUCAUAUUUUGAGCUGACAACAAUGAAGUGACCUGUGUUUUUUUGGUGGAAAUAUCACAUGAUGUGGGCUGCAUGAAAGUUGCAGACAAGUGCUGCAAAGUAAAAGCAAAAGUGGACAACAAGCCAAAUGUUUUUCGGCUAAUAAACUAAACAAAGAAAAGUUGUGUUGUGAUUGACUCAUAUUUUGAGCUGUCAACAAUGAAGUGACCUGUGUUUUUUGGUGGAAAUAUCACAUGAUGUGGGCUGCAUGAAAGUUGCAGACAAGUGCUGCAAAGUAAAAGCAAAAGUGGACAACAAGCCAAAUGUUUUUCGGCUAAUAAACUAAACAAAGAAAAGUUUGGUGCACAUCAUCAUGAGUAAAGACACAAUGAUAAUGCUUGUAAGAAAAUAGAAAAAAGUGGUUGCUUUUAGUUUAAUGAUUAUGAAGAAAUGUGAUGAUGGAUUGGCCUUUAUUUAAUGCAAGGAAAUGCUUGCUUUAUGUGUGCUUGCCGAGAGAGAAGGUUUGCAUCAGAAAAGCAUCCAAGGUGGAGAAAGCAUUUGGUUCUCCCAUGGGAAAGGUUAAACAUGGGUUGAGAGAAAAUCAAGAGAGCUAGAGUGAAAAGUAUUAUAGUGAAAGAACUCUUGGGUAGAGUGAGGCUCUUGGGAAAAUGCUAUGAGUGGGUGUGCAAGGGAUUUGGGAUUGAGUUAUGUUGAUUUAACUCAUGUGUACUUGUACUGUUAUUCAUAGUGAAGAGCAAUAUCUCUUCGGGGACGUAAGCAUGUUUUUGCCGAACCUCGUAAAUUUUUAGGUGUCUUUAUUUCUUGUAUUUUAUUUUGUUCAACUGAGUGUGAUUUGGUGAGGUUGUAAUCUGAAUCUCGUUUCCGCACUAACGAACACGCCAAGGCACAACAAAGUGUCCAUACAUAGAUUAGCAAAUCUGGUGCCGUAGAUAACGAAAAUUUCAUGCCAGCCAACUUAUAGGCUUCCUUCUCAAGCUGCCCUAGCUUUUUUCCUAACACCUUGCGUGCUUGUAAGCAUCCCUCCAUGUCAAGACCCACUCCCCAGAGCUCCAUGUCGGCAAGAAUAUUAACCUAGCAUACAAAUAAGCAAUAAGCUAUUGUCGAAGUGGUUGGGUUGGGUACUGGUUCUCAAGCACCCAACUAAACAGUGGUCAUGCAUUUAAAUCCAAAACAAACAAUAGCAAUAAUGUAAACCUCAAAUAAAAUGAAGCUCCCUCAAAAAAAUUAAGUCAGAUGCUAUGAAAGUAACUUACCAAUGGGAAUUCAAAAUCUAGGAGGGCUUCAGUGAGGUCUUCAGCAACAAUUAACUUCCAAAGAACAGAACAUAAGGCUCAUAUUUUUGCAGCCCGAUGGUAGCAACCGUUAUGUGCAGCUCUUCGCAUCUGAUUCUUCCACCUGCCAUUCCGAUUAGCAGCUGAUGCAGCUUCACUAGAUAACCUUUUCUUAACUUCCUAUAAAUCGUUCUAAAAUCUUCAAAUGCAAAUUCAGUAACGAUGAACAUGUAAAUAUUGAAUGAAAGAAUUAUAGUUAAACACUUCUGCCUUUAAGAAAUGCUUUGAUUGAAAUGAUGAAGUUUCUUUUUUGGGAGUUUUAACAAAAUACUCCUGGUACUGUUCACUUUUAAUGAAAAACCAUAUUUAUACAUUUCCCUGGUAUUAUUCACUAUAUCUUUAAAAAGAAUUUUCAUUAAAAAAGAAGUUUUUUUGGAUUUUUCGUUAAUUUUCCUUUAUAUGAACCGGAGGCAACAGGAGAGUUUUCCCAACAGAUGGCUAUGCCAUGUAUUUCAAAGGGCGCAACAGAAUUCAAUUCCGAUCGUUUGUUGUAGUGAAUAUCAAAAUAGAACUCUCAGAUGGAUCCCCAGAGAUCCAAGAAGGAAUCAAAACCGCCAAGAGUUUUAACUCCAUGAAUAGGGCCUUUCCCACAAGCAUUGCUUUUAUAGCUAGAGGACAAAUUCUCCCUUUUGUAGCGUUUCUGUUUUUCAAGAGCAAGAGAGUCAUCAGAUGCCCUAGUUCUAUCAAUUAAGCUUUAUAACUCAACCCGGUCAGUCAAAUCAGUACUUUUCGUUUAAUCCAUCGCAGCAGUAAGAUAAUCCAGCCCUCGAAGAUGUACUUUAGAAUUGUCAGCACUAGACUUAAUUUGCAUGACACCAGUUCACUUUACUUCUGCAGCCUUUUCAGAAUGAACCCUACCUUCCAAAGAUGCUUUAGCAGCGUACUCUGUGCUGCGCUCUACAUUAGGGAAGCUACUAGUGGAGUUAUCACCAGAGGAAUUUCCUUCUCCUUGCAUACUGGGACUUCCACCACCAGUUAAAAAUACCGGUCCAGAAAACCGUGGGACAUACAUGUUGGUGGAUAGUCGCCAAAUUAGUGGCCAACUUGGCAUUCACUUUCGGCUAGAAAAUUAAACAAAGAAAAGUUUGGUGGACAUCAUCAUGAGUAAAGACACAAUGAUUAUAUUUGUUGAAAAAAAAAAGGAAGGUCACGAUGAUGUUUGUAAAGGAAUGAUUAUUCCUUUACUUUGGAUUUUUUUUAUUAAAUGCUUUUGUAUGGAUAAAGGUUUUCAGCCGAAUGAGGGAGGGAAGGGGGGAGCGGCAGAUGAGAGAAACCAGGGAGAGCAUUCGGCUCUCCCAUUUGAAUAUGAGCUGCUCCUUCCCACCAUUUGUAAUAAUCUCAUUUUGUUAGUAAUCACUCAAUCAAAGAUGUUGGUGCUACUUGUUGUGUUUGGUUCAUACAUUUGUGAGUAAUUAUGAGUCAUGUGUUAACAACAAUGAAGUGACUUGUGUUUGCUUUCGGUGGAAAUAUCACAUGGUGUGGGUUGCAUGAAAGUUGCGUGCUGCAAAGUAAAAGUAAAAGUUUGGUGGACAUCAUCAUGAGUAAAGACAUAAUGAUAUGCUUGCUUUUGCUUUAAUGAUGAUGUUUGUUUUUUGCUUUAAUGAUGAUGCAAGACACAAUGAUGAUGACUAUGAUGGCUAUGAUGCAAGAACUAUUUUGUGCGCACCAUUCUUGAUCUUCUUUGCUACGCCUACUUGGAUGCGCCUUUGAGCUGAACCUUCUGCAGUCAUAGUAUCAUCUUACCAAUAUUAGGAAAGAAUGCAGGAAAAAUACGCAAUAAAAUCAAAAUAACUUUAAGAAAUAGUAAAAUAAGUUAUAAAAGAAAAGUGGGCAAAAACUCAUCUUCAUAAAAUAAAGUACAUAAACUAUAGAGCUAGAACCAUCCAUAUGAACAAAUAUUAUCACAAUCCCGCUGGCAAACAAGCAUAUGAAACAAAUGCAUCUGAGCAAACUUACAUGCAUUUAGAAAGCUAAUUGUUGUACAAUACUUGACUGGAAAGAGUACCGUUGUGCAUUUCAUUGAAAGACCAGAAAGAGAUUCGCGUUCAGAAAAAGGUCUUGGAAUUAGUUAUCACACACUAAAAUUUUCCUUCUUAGGCAGAAUUCUUUUCUGUAGUUACUGGUUUGUAAUGUUACAUAAACUCAAUUCCUUUUUUAAAGGUCAAAGAGAAUGCAUGGAGUAAGCUAAGAAACACACUUCGGGUUUUCAGAAUGUCUCCAAAGCAAAGAAAUGCUAAGAACUAAGCUAAGAAACAAUUAUUUCUUAAUAGUCCUGGUAACCAUCACAAAUCAAACAUAGUUUAGAAGAACAUGAUCUUAUCAGGACAUCAGAUGAUAUUAAGAUAUCAUUUACCAGGAACUUAUCACAGGAAACUGAGAAGCCGUGUACUAAAAUUAGAAUCUUAUAUGCAUCACCUUGUUCGUUCCAUGAUGAAAAUUCAAAAAGAGCUUUGACUAUUUCAGGGAUGGACGCUUCAGCAAUUGCUAAAGGAGUACGCAAGCCAGCUUUAUAGAGUGCCCUCGCUCGAGAACCCUACAGAUCAGCACAUACCAUUUACAAAUAAAUAAAUAAACAUUACUGUUGAGCAUAUGUCAGGUAUCAAAAGGAGGUUACGAAUGUGACUGUAGUUCACAUACCUUGAUAUAUGGAAUUGUAGUAAGCUCUACAAUCUCUGCUCUCACUCCAAAUGAAACACGAUUUUGAAACUUGCAAACCAAGCCCUCUAAAUCAUGCCAUCCACGCCUCUCACAAACACAUGGUUAACCAUCGAUGCAAACCUUUCUCUUGUAAGGCCUGCACCAUACCUCUAGCCAUUUUGAAAGCUUCACGUACUCAGUGAUAGCAGCUUCCUUCACCACAUAUUGAAGAGUUCACAUUUAGCAAGGCAGAAGUCAACAAAUCUCACAAUAUCCCAUAAAUAAAUAAAUCUAAACUGAUAGAUACUUUUUUUUUUUUUUAGAAACUUCGACGGUACAAGGUAAUUUUAUUGAUAACAAAAAAAUAAGUUACACCUAGUUUGUGGAGACAUAAACCUUACCCCUAAAAAACAGAGACAACAAAAAGGAAUACACAAAAAAAAAGAGGGAACCUAAACCUUACCCUUCUAGAAACAAAAAACGAGAAUGAUACAAAGAAAAAGGAGGGGGGACAUAAACCUUAUCAUUCUAAAAAAAAAAAACAAGAAUGAUACAAAGGAAAAGGGGGGACAUGAAACCUAACCCCUCUAGAAUCAAACCUAAAGGUCUAAACUUGCAAAAUAAGUCAAAUGACAUCAUAAAGUUAGGAGAAAACAAGAAAGUGAGACAAAUCUGGAUGCCGACAUGCACAUUAAUUUGAGAAGUGGUAAUCAGACAAGUCAACAUAGUCUGAAAACAUAGUAGCACGAACAACUAUCGAAGGAGAAUCAUGCCAUGUAAAACUGAUGGAUACUCGAAAAAGAAAAAGAGCAAAAAUUUAAAUUACAAGACGAAAGGAACAAAAUGUAUGUCACCUCCCAUGUGCGUGUGUAUAGAUGGUUGAUUUCGUCAUAUCGAGUUCAUUGAAGAGGUGAAGUCAAAGUUGAUUUGAUGCUUCAAUUAUAUUGUUUUCAUUUCGAUUCAGGUGAAUAAGUAGAAAGUUUAUAUAAAAAUAAUAUUAUUUACUCUAAUUCUAUAAAGUUUAGUAAGCAGUUCUAAUGUGAAAAUCCAAUUAUGAUUUUUCUACUUUCUUUUCUUUCAUUUUACUUACAAAUUAGUAAACGAGCUAUAAUAAGAAUAUCACCAAGAGAGACUUUAUCCUCUAUAAAGAUACUAUAUUUUAAGCCUUAAUGAGAAAUGAGGAGAAAAAAUGUGUGUGAUUAAUAUUUAUCGUUUAACAUGUUGAAAUUAAGUAUGCCACAUAUAAACAACCGAGCUUUAUCGUCCUUACUUGAACAACUAAACAGUAUUCCACGAUUUCUUUCGCUCAAAGUAAAGCAUAUAUGCCCCUAAUAGAAUCCACAUUUUUGUAUUCUUAAUUAAAUUUUAAUAAGAACAUUUAAUACUACGAUCUAAUGUUAUUAUUCUUCACUUGUAAGUGAGAGUUUAUAUUCGAUUUUCACUAAAGACAAUUUUGAACCACAUUACAGCUAACCCAUUAUGAGGCUAAGCGUAUCCUCUCUCAUUUAUUUAACAAAAAAAAUUAUAUAACAAAGUUAGAAAUCAAAAUGAUUUUUUUUCUCUUAUAUUCAUUUUUAGUAAUUACAUAUGCCUUAAAAAUAAACUAAUUGACACAAAAAAAAAAACACAAUAACUGAUCAAAUCAAACAUUUCUAUAUAUAAGUGUAUUCUUCUCCAAAAAAUACAAAAGAAUGAUAGAGACAUCAAAAAACAAAUGUUUUUAUAUUAUAUAGCAUUUAAAAACAUAUGUUAGAUUAGAGGGAAUAUAGAAUAUAGAAUAUAUAGCCUCUCGCUCAAAAAAUAAAAGUAAAAUGUAAAAAAGAAAAAAGAAUUACAGAGAGACAAGUACAGUCGAGAAAUUCUAUAAAUUGGAGCGAGGAGAGUAGAGGAAGAGUCCCGCGCGGCAUCUCAGCGAGCGAUCGAUUUAGGGGUUUUCAUCAGAAACCAGAACAAGUUUACAAACAAAGCGAAUCGGCUUACAAGUUCACAAACAAAGCGAAUCGGCUUAGGGUUCGCACUCUUCCUGUUCUCUGGAGAACCAGCAUUGCAUCGAUUACUGUCUUCGGCUCUGCAGAGAGCCGCUGUAAGGUUCGAUUUUGCCCCUCUCAUUGUUUUAAUUCGUUAAAUUUUCACUCGCGAAUUGUUUCUUUGAUUGGUGGUUGUAUCUGGGUUUUAUUCGUUUGAUUUAAUUGUCAGAUUUUUUGGGUUGGUUGAAAAGUUUUGGAAUUUCAUGCAUUUGGGGAUUGUUCUAUGUGUAAUUAUCUGUGGUUUUCAUCAUUUAAUUAGUUUUUUUCCCCCUUCGGAGGUCUUCGGGAUGUAAUUUUGAUUGCUUAAAUCGGAGGCACAAGAUAGUGCAGUGUUAGUGUUCCAGGAUAUUGGGAGUCUGGGAUUCUAGGGUUUGUUUUUGUAUCAAUUGAAAGAUGUUUUAUUAAUUAAAAAAAAAGAUGUUUUAUUAAUUUAUGGAGAGAAGGUCUUGAUUUGUUAUCGAACAGUUAUUUAAGUCUUAAGAUAAGACAAAUUUAGUACUGUCCUGAAUCAGUUUCACUUCGCUUGAAUGUAUUCCUCUUUAUUCCUUUGAACUGCAGUAGUGUUUUCUGCUUAAGAUAAACCGGGAUUGGUAACCGUAGUGGAAAAAAAAAAAGAUUUUUUGGGUGUAAAUUGUUCUCGGGAAUCAUUAUCUUCUUACAUUAUUGACUGGCAAUUGUUCUAUCAAAAUAUUGGUAAUAGGUUUUUCCUACUUUUUCAGGUUAACUGUGAGUCUGCUUUUGAAGAGGCCUGGUGGGGGAAUAUGGAACAAGAUACACGGACUGAAAAGCUUGAAUUUACAUGGGGAAAGAAGAAAGGAAAGGGAGGGAAAAAUAAGGACGUUCAGUUAUGAAUCUUUUACUUUUGAUGGUGAAGAGUACACGCUGUAUGAUUGCGUUUAUCUUUACAAGGAAGAUGAACCUGAGCCUGAGAUUGGAAAGCUAAUAAAAAUAUGGGAAACUGGUGAGAAGACAAGGAAAGUUAAAGUUCUAUGGUUUUUUCGUCCUUGUGAGAUUUCAAAUUUUCUUGGAUGUGAAGAGGUACUUGAGAAUGAGUUGUUCUUGGCAUCCGGUGAUGGUGUGGGCCUUGCGAAUCUUAAUCCAUUGGUACUUACAUUUUGAUUUAUGCUCUUAACUAAUUUUAUCAUUUGUAUUUGUUAGAAAUGGAAUGAUUAAUUGAUCACGUAAAGGUGUGGUAUAUAGUUUGUUAGCCUAAAUGAAUAUAGUCUUUCUGAUUUUCAAUCAAUAAUGAUGCAGGAACUUUCCAUACUAUAUAUCUUUGCAAUGCUAUUGUUUCUUUUCUUCGUUCUGCUGCCAAGUUUGUCUUCAAUUUUUCACUUCAUUUUUCACCGAGUUGACUAAACCGUGCAGUUUCUUUUAUAGAUUGGUUGACGUGUUUGAAUAUAAUUUACAACAAAUUCUACUUCUCUGAUAUAGUAGGACCGUGAAACAUUGUUAAGCUUCUUAGUGUUCUAUUUUUUAUAUUUCUUAAAAGACUCUAAUUGGCAAUCCUUACAACUUUGAUUUCCAGCAAUACAAUAAGAUUUGCAUUCCCCUUGUGAUGACAUAAAUUGUGUCAGAUUACAUGUUGCCCCUCUCUCUCUCCCAGAUUACAUGUUGCCCCUCUCUCUCACACACACACAAUUACAAAUACAUGCUAAGGCUGAACUUGGGUUUUGAACUUUUGGUAGUAUUUGAUAGAUGUUAUAUCCCUAAUAGACAUGGUAAUAUUACAAGUGAGAAAUGGUUUCAAUUGGUAACUACAACAACAACAACAACAAAGCCUUUUCCCACUAAGUGGUUUCAAUUGGUAACUGAUUGUAAAUAUUCUUGCGCUAAAUGAAACUAAGCACUUAGAAAAAUAUAUUAUGUGCAUGUCUUGGUUAGUAGGAAUUGUAUUUAGACUUUAUAAUAUGAUAGCAUUGUAGCACAAUCUUAACAAGUUAAGAUGUGGACCAACGGUUAUGUUAUGUUCUAACACUGCCCCCCAAUCUUGGGACUCUCUUUAUCACAAGAGUUCAUUUGUGGAUUUCAAGCUUUGUUGGAAGGUACAAUUGCAGAGACUUCAACAUUGAAUUCUCAUGCUUUGAUACCAUAAUAAAAUUUUAUGUUGUUAAGAUAUAAAUCGACAAUUAUUUCAUAUUCUACUAUUAAAGAUCAAUGGUCUAGUUGCUGAAGUUUUAUAAUCAAAUCAGGAAGCCAUUGCUGGAAAAUGCAAUGUUCUUUGCAUUUCAAAAGACAAGGAAAAUCCUCAACCAUCAGAUGAAGAGCUUCAAAUGGCCGAAUUUGUGUUUCGUCGAACCUUUGAUGUUGGGCUGCAAAAAAUCACUGACAAGAUAGAGGGAGCAAUUGCUGGGAUUGAUGGUAUGUAUAUCUAUCAACUCGGACCCUUGUAGUUUGACUUAUAGUUGCAUGUUUAUUUUCAUAUUUUGAGUCUUAUAUCUUUGUUUAUGUAAUUGUUGCAGUUAAAUUCAUGUUUAACAGAAGGGAUAUUCAGAAGCCUGGUGGCGUUCUGAAAGUUGAUUUAGGAAAAAAUGAAGUUUGUGGGAAUUCCAUAGCAAGUAAUGAAACAGUGGUUCUAUCAAACAAAAAUUCAUUUAAAGAAAAUAUCACUUUAGAGACAAAUGGAAAUAUUGUUGAUUCGUCAACACUAGAAAAGGGUGAUUUGGUUAAGCAUAAACCAUCACUUGUAGAAAAACCUGCUUAUGGUGUAGGUUUAAAUUCAAAUGAAAAGGAUAAAAUGAAUGAAAAACAGGAACAUGUGUCAAAUCCCAAGGUCUUGUUGAGUUCUGAAGUUAAAAGUGAUGAAGGUGAGGUUAAGUGUGGUAAAGUUCAUGCACAACAAGUUGAAGUGGAAGAAAAAGUGAUGUUCACUAAGGAUAACGUUGAUUCGGAUAAUAGGCCAACCAAGAAGGCGAAGCUUGAUAAUGGUAAAGGUAGUGAGCAAAUACUUGCGAAGGUAGAAAGAAAGAAAAAAUGUACCAAUGUUUGUGAUUCGAAGGCGAAGAAUGACACUUCAAUUGAAGUGGUCAAUGACAAAAAGAAUAGUAGUGACCUGAGUUGUAUGAAUGUUACAAAGGUUGUAUCCCCAAAUGUUCCUGUUGAAGUGGAUCAUGGACAAUCUAAAAAGCCGAAGCUUGAAUCUUCGAUUGAAGUGCCCAAUGACAAAAGCAAAAGUAGUGACCUAAAGCAUGUGAAUGCUACAAAAGUUUUAUCAUCGUCUACCUCUGCUCUUGAUGAUAAAUCCAAACUUAAGCGUGCAAAGGAUUCUCUUGGAACAAACAAUGCCCUUCUCAAGAAGAUGAAGCUUGAUGACAAGGCAAUGACCAUUUCCGAAGGCAACAAUGGUAAGUUGCCUAAAGCAUCUCAACGUAAAGUCAAACAUGUAGAGGAUUCUCGUGGAGCAAAUGAAGAGUCUUGCAAGAAGAUAAAGCUCGAUGAGAAAGCCAUGGCACCUUGUGAUGGCAAGUUGCCUAAAGUACCUCCUACACAAUCUCAAAGUAUGGCCGAAAAGGUUGAUGGCCAAGAAGUUACUCGACGUCCCGAUGUUGUAAGUAAUGCCAUUCUUUCCUCUUUUCAUUCUAGUCCAAAUGAUUCCCUUAUUGAGAGUGUGAGUUGUCGUUAUUCCCCACAUUAAGUCGAAUAUUGGUGUCAUUUCUAGCAUGUUUUUUUCUUUGGGUCUUACAAAUACCAUGCAUUGUUUUAUAUGGUGGAGUGUCCAUAUAUCCUAUCUCUCAUGGUUGAGGGUUUUUCCAAUGCAAAACUUUGGCGACUCCCUAGGUUGUCAUAAUUGGAACUACUUUUAGCGUUGAUUUUGGAACGUUAAAUACUUUGGAGAAGGUUGAUAGUUAUGUUUUCGCAAUUGCAUAUCCUUGGAGAUGCUCUAAUUAUGUAGAGGUAGGAUGUUGGAGUUAAGGCUUUUGUAGUUAAGGCACAAAUUGGCACUUGAUUGUAGCAUUCGAUAAUUGAGUUCUACUCAAAGAAUUGGCACUCAUUCAUUGUACACCUGUGGCGAGUUGACUCUCGUUUGUACUUAAUUGUGGUGUGGACAUUGUGUGUCAUGUGCUACACAAGAAUUGCUUCAUGGCUUGCCAAAAUUGGUUUUUUUUCUAAAUGAAUAAUGUCAAGGCUAUCACAAACUACCAAAGUUUUCAAGGAAUAUUCAAAUCAUCAACCAAACUUCAAAUUUGCAGUGCUUCUUUCAUGACUUGACAAUGUUUCUUCAUCAAAUUGUCCAUUCGCGUCAAUUGUUUUUCAUGUUCUUGCCAUGCAGAAUUAUGGUAAAUUUUGAAACUUAUGGAGUUCAAAUAUAUAAAGUUGAACCAUUCCCAAAUGUUGUGUGCGAGUUCAUGUCAUGAAUUAUUUCGCUAGUAGUUAUAGUAAUGGCAACAAUGUUCCACUAUUUUAUUUGUAGUUAAGGUAUCUCCCUUGUUCUCAUCGUUGCUAAAUUUGAUUAGUGUCCACGUGGUGAAACCCUUAUUGGGUUGAAAGUAGUUUUUACUUGUUUCCUUCUUCAUUGUGCUCCUUUCAUUUAGAACACUAAGAGUGCGUUUGUUGCAUCGACUAAAUCGGACUAGACUAGCUUCAUGGAUUUAGCCGGACUGACUUAGAAUAGACUAAGCUGGACUGACUUAGUUAAGUGUUGGGUGCAGGAUAAUUAUACAAACUCUAAUAUUAUAUUAUUUAAUCCAUAUCUAUUAGUAUUUUGAUAUUAAUUCUAUCUUUUUCUUUUUUAUAGAAACCUCUUCCUCUCUCUUUAAACCUUUCCCUCUUUUUCUUUGUGCCAUUCUCUCUCUCCCUUCUUCCUCCUUUUCUCCCUCCAACUCAAGAAGUUGGAGAGCUCUAGAAGGCACGACAAAUCAAAUCCCUCCAAUCCCAUUUGAAACUCGAAUCGAAUCCCUCUGGAAGUUGGAAGAUCAAGAUGAAAAACCCAGAAGUCAAGACGAAAGCUAAGCUCGAUCAUUUACUUGUUGGAUCCCAUUUGAAACCCAGAUCCAAUCCCUCAAAAUCAUGGCCUCCUCCUACCCGAGCACCACCGCACCCUUUUCUUAGGCAACUCCCACAACCACCUAACGAGAACAACCAAUCCUCAUCGCCUUUGUUCGAAUGGGUUCGAAUUCAGAAGCCAUUGAUGCCCUUUUGCAGCAGAAGCUCUUAAGUGGCGGGGACGACGAGGCACUCAAGAUCAUGCGCAGCCUUUCACCACUGAGUGGAAGUUCAUGAUGGAGAGGAUUCUCGUUGAAAUGGGUGAAAACGAUGGGGACAAUGAACACGUAUUGCUAAUCCCAACUUUUCACACGGUAUUAGAGGUGAGGCGCGAAGGCUCGUCCCACUUAAUCUCAUUAAAGCUAGUCCUUUAACCAUGCCAAACAAGGAACUAGGACAAUAACUAAGCCAAUCCUAGCUAAGGAGGCCAAACAACCGGGAAGGGCUCAUUUGGAACUUCCUUUAGAAUGGAUAAAAGCAUUUUUAGAUAACCAAGGGCACUUUCUUUUUUAGGAAGCACGAUUACUCAUAAGUGAUUUUAUACUCAUUAAUCUUUUCUUAUUUUCACAUUAGAUGGUUUCAAACUGUGGACCUAACCUACUCGUGCAAGUCACCCUACGUCCACCCUCAAUACUAGGCUCAUAAGUGCUUUUAUAAGCCACAAGCAUUUUUAAGUUUUUCUACCAAGCGUUGAAGAAGUUUUUUGGUUAUCCGCAAGCGCUUUAAAGCUCACUUGGAACUACUUGUUUAGAAAGCGCUUUGGCUACAAGUGCUUAUUAAACACCAGUUGAGGGUUUGGUAGUCAGGUUUACUGUUAGUUCUUUUGUGUUAUUAAUGCCUAGUUCUUCCAAAAUGAUAACAUAAAGAUUCCCAAAAAGUUAACCUUGUAUUUAGUUCUUACAGUUGCUCAUCUUCAUUCUUGCAGGACAGAAGAACAUGGUUCAAGGGAUUUGUGAGUUGUUCAUUUUCACUUAUAUUCUUGGUUUUAAUUGUUAAUUUUGAAUCUCAAGUUUUUGUUUAUUGUUGAAUUUGAUUCUAGUGCAUUGCACCUGUAAGGCCUCAAAACUGUCUUCCACUCUAUUGCCUAGGGGCAAGGAAACAUAAUGGGGUGUUCUCAAUUUGAACCUCAAUUAGUAAUUACUUUCACCAAAAAAGUUAAAAGAGAAGUUCCUUUAAAUUGACAUUUAAUGGAUGUUUUAAUGUGGACGGUAGUGGGUGCCAUGUUGGACUGAUGAAAUGUCUUUUAUCAAUGUCAGCCUUGGGAGGAUAGAAUUCAGGCUGCACAUGAGCAAGGCACCCUUGUUCUGCUCCAGAAUUUGGAUCCAGCAUACACUUCAGCACAAGUGGAGGUAACAGUUGCAUUGGAGCUUUAGUUGCAAACACUGUUAUUACUUGGAGUAUAGAUUUUGAACUAAAUGUACUAAUGCAGUAUGUAGUUGUGUGUUUACUCGUCCAAUUUUUCAUCUUUGUCAACUCUAGGCUGCCACUUACUUAUGUGUUGGGUUUUCUACUUUAGAGCAACAUCUCAUUUGAUCUUAUGUAUUACAUUUCAGGACAUACUAUGGCAUGGUUUUAAGGAGAGCUGCACGGCUAAGAUGAUUCAGCGGACCGCCAAUUCUAGUCCUCACUAUGGUAUGGAUAAUUUAUUUAAAUCUUAUAUUUAUUCUCCUAUCUAUUUUCUCAGAAAAAUUGACUUGAUCUUGUGUUUAGAUGAUAAUAUUUAUUUGUAAACACAACAUGGAUGAAAUUACGCUUAUAGUCUAAUUCUAAAUUAUUUGUUUGUUCAUAUUGUAGGACAAGCUCUUGUUAUUCUCAAAACUAGGGAAGCAGCACAAAAGGUUGUUAGAGAAUUGGAUAAGAGAUGUUUAUUGUUGUCAAAUGGAAGGUUUGUAGUUGGCUAAUAUUCUAGCAUAGGUCGUGUUAGCCUCUACAGCAUGAUGCAUCUUUUUGCUAUUUACUCUCUAUAUCUUGUUUUAUUUCUCUGUUCCACUCCCCAUUAAAUAAUUUAGAACACUCCACAUACCAAGUUUUUUAUUUUGAAGUCCUUUCUUAUGACGUACUGGUAAUCUUUUCUGUUGUAUCCUAUUUUUCUGUCUUAUCAAUUCAAAGCAGUUGACAUGUAAGAAGUUUUCACCAGGUGGUAUUUUUUUUCUCUAGGUUCUGUUAAUUAACUGUUUUUGAUUGACGAAGGAUACGAGCUUCUGUCAAUUUCAAUGUGAUUAUCAACUUUUACUUUAUAUACAGCUAAUUUCUGCAAAUAGGUGGUUCACAUGAUGAUAGUUUUUAUACGAUUUAUAGGCCUCUUGUUGGCAGCUUUGGAACUCCUUGUUCCUCAGAAAAGAAGGCACCCUUUUUUGGUCAUCUUACUAUUGAGAAACUACGGCACCAAAAUGCACGGGAAAUGGUACAGUUGCAUCUCUCUCUCUCUCUACAAGCAUCAACAUAUAUACAAGAAACACAAGCGUAUAAAGCUGGUAUUGUUUGUUUCUGUUUUCAUAGCCUUCUCAUCUACAUGUUUAUGUUUUUACCUUUUUGGAUCCAGAAAGAAGCCAUAUCUACUUCACAUUGUUCCCAGCCCAACACUAUUGAAUACGAUAUGGCCAUGGAGUGGUGUUUACAACAAGAAAGAUCAGAUCUUUUGUGGAGGAACUUAUAUAAGGUCUUGGAAAUAUUCAUUGUCAUAUAAAAUAUAUUGAAUUGUGUUUGAAUAAUAUGCUAUUUAAUGUUUGUGGGUGUUGUUUCCUUAGCCAAACUAUCUCAAAUGACUUUUUUCUCCUUUAAAAUUUUGUUUUAGCAACAAGGAAAGGAGUUGAGAAAACUCAAAGCGGAACUUAAACUCAAACCUGCACAUAAGAAGAAAUAAGCAAUGUGGCUGGGUGAACUUGCUCCCAUUGGUAAGUUUUACAACAAAGAAAGAUCUCUACUUUCAUUUUGAGUUGCCUAAUUGCAUUGCUCAAUGAAUUUAUUUUUGCUAUCAUUUUCUUGUGGGCUCUAUGCAAUGUGAUUCAAAAGAAGCUUUUCUCCUCUUUUGGAGCUUUAUGAAAUUGUCACAUUAACAGGAUCUGCCACUUUUAUAAUAGACAUUCGUUAAUGAGUUUUUUUUAUUUUUUAUCUACUUGUGCGGAAGUGACUCAUGAAAGUUCAAUUCAAAGGUUUUAAAGGCUUUGGGCAUGCAUAUGAUGCAUUCCCGUGUACAGUGUAGAUCCAACACAUUAAGUUACAGUUAAAUACUUGCAUCAUUCGUCGUCGUUUCCUUGAGUAGGAGAAACUCUAAAAUCAUGUGUAUGCAUAUUCUGUUUAGUCUGUAUCAUCUCUCUCUCUCUCUUUGAGUUCAGUCUAUUUACGCAAUCCUUUUUUCCUCCCCCAUUUUUAUUAGAAAGGUGAUGAAAGAACUGAUAUGGUUGGGCUGUAAUUCAAGGAUCGGGCAGUAUCAUGGUUGCGCAGGUGCAAGUCUUUUGUUCAGGACCGGUUUCCGGCUGUUGUGAAUCUCAUGUGAAGUUUUUGGCGGUAGGAAAUAACUGGACGGUCUGCUUCAUAUGAGCAUCAUCACCGAAGAAAAGUGUAAAUUCCUUUGUAUCAUCUUCAGAUAGUGAAUGCCGUUGUUUGUACGGUUAAUGUUUAGGUUGAACAAGUGCUUUAUCCCAGUCGAAAAAUUAACAGCCCUAAGUUCUUGUCUACUCUUUCUUAAACUCGAUUUACCAAUGAGAAGUUUCUCUUGGUGGGGUAACUGGUAGAAUUCACUCUUUCUAUGGGAGAAGUAAGGGGAUGGCAAGUGUCUGUUCUAAAUUAAUCACGUUUUGUCAUGUGAGAAAGUUGGAACAAAUGAUGACUGAGGUCGAGGGAUAGGUUUGAUGCAUUGCCACUUUGGCAUGGGGUUUGUUGUUGAAUUUCGGUAUUUUAUCCAAUUAAUUAAGGAUAAAAAGGCCUAGCCCUGUUUUCCAAAAAAAAAAAAAAAAAAAAAAAAAGGCCUUGCCCUUCGCUUUUAAUUUCUAAUCAAUGGCUAGAUAUUCAAAUUUGUAUCUUAUUCCAUGGAUGGUGUGGGGAUGUAUGAUACUUUUCUAAUGGAUUUGACAUUUCUCCCAGCAAAAGCAAGAAAAGUGUUGAACCAUUGAAAAAAGUUGAUUUACUUUUUCGGUUCUUAAAAUUUAAACUCAUUUAAUAAUAAUUGUAGAAUGAUGAGUAUUACUAUCACUUAAGACGGUAAGCAAGAAUGUUUCGUAAAACACAUUUUAAAAUUAUAGAUUCUAUUAACGGGGUAAUUAGUAACACCUGACAACGGUACAAAAAGAAAAGUUUUUGUUGGAGGUGAUCAAAAUUUCAAAUUGCCAUUAAGAGCUCUUCUCGUGGUGGCCACAAUAAUAUCUCCUUUUACCGAAUUCACCCCAACCGAACGUUUAUUCCAUUUCACACCAAGUAAUUUUUUUUAUUUUGCUUUUUCAAAUGAAGCAAGUAAUUAGGUUGGUAAUUAUCUGGUUACCUACUCAAUUUUUGACUGAUUCACCACUUAAUUCACUAAUCAACAAGUACGACGCCGUUUCAGCUGCCUCAAAAAAUGUAACCGUUACUUUAAAAAAUCAUAAUUAGGGACACCGAGUAAUCAAAGCGCGCGAGUAGACGUUAAUUCCUCCGUUCCGUGCGAGUACACAAAAAAAGUCACUCCCUCUCUCUCUCUCUCCUCUUUCUCUGCUUUCUCUCCCCUCUCUCUCUGCUCUGUCUGCUCACUUCUGCACCUGUUUUGGCAGCACUCACUCUCUUUUCAUUUCACUUCAUUGUCCUCCUCCUCCAUUGAAACCCUCUCCUCUCUCAAAAGUGAAAACCAAAAAAGCCCCCGUCUUUGCUCUCAAAUCUCUCUGACUUACCAGAGCUCCCAAAACCCAGCUCCGACAAGCUUCGCUCUGCCAUUUCCAUGGAAGCGGCGCCGUUUUAGCCGCACCCAGAAGCUCCAAACCCAAAGCUCACAUCUUCUUUUUGUAUUUUUUUUCAACCCAUUGCUCUUAAAUGUCAAAAAGUACACAACUUUAAGGAGUUUUUAGUCGUUUUUUCAAGACACCCACGAAAAAUGGGGUGCGCCCAAUCGAGAAUCGAAAACGAGGAAUCCGUGUUGCGAUGCAAGGACCGCCGGAACCUGAUGAAAGAGGCGGUGGUGGCCAGGAACGCCUUCGCUUCCGGCCAUUCUGGCUACGCCGUGGCCUUGAAGAACGCCGGUGCCGCGUUGAGUGAUUACGGCCAUGGAGAAACCCAAGUGACCCCGGAGAUGGAAAUCCUUCACAGCCAACAUCAGCCGAUGGACCCCGCAUCUGAGCCGCCGCCGCCUCCGCCGCCCCAUCUCGAGAACCUGAACCUUCCGCCGCCUCCGCCGCCUCUGCCCACUUUCACUCCAAGCCCGAUCAAGCGGGCCACCAGCAUGCCAGUGAUGAGCUCUGAGGCUCGGAAAAUGGGGGGUCGGAGAGUUGGGCUGGCCAUUGCGGAGGAGGAUGAGGAAGAAGAGGACCAUGAACAUGAUGAUGAGGAUGAGAGCCAUAAAGGUUUUCAGAGGAGAUCGAGAAAUGGGGCUUCGGAGACGACAUCGUCGCCGCCGAGGACGCCGGAGAUGAAGGCGGUGCCUCCGAUGCCGGAGUCGAAGGGCAUGGCUUGGGACUAUUUCUUUAUGGUGGAUAACAUGCCGGGACCAUCUUUGAGUGAGAAUGAAGAGGCUGAGGAAUUUGGUGAAGAUGAGAAUAUGGGGGUUGGCGGCGGCGGCGGCGUUGAUUUGGCUGAUGAGGUUGAGCCCAAGACUCCGGAGAAGGUGGAGGAGAUUGAGGAGAAGGCGGAAGAGGAAACUCCGGUGGCAAUCGAGCAUUCGAAAACUGCGCCACCGGAGUUUAGCAGGAGAGUAGCUAAUGUGAUUCCUGGUGUGACUUUGAUGGACAUAUUGAAUAAGAUUGACGAUCAUUUCUUGAAGGCCUCGGAGAGUGCUCAGGAGGUUUCGAAGAUGCUCGAGGCCACUCGGUUGCACUAUCACUCGAAUUUCGCAGAUAAUCGAGGUAUACGAGUUCUAUGAAUUCCCUUUAAGCCAAGUUCUUUAUAUGAAUUCCCUUUAGGUGUAAUGUAAUGGUUAAGUUGGUAUUGAAGUUUGAAAGAGACCUUAUUUUCUUCUCAAAAGCUUUCAAAAAUGUCUACAAAUUGUCCUAUAAAAAACAUGUGGGCAAACAUCUUGACUUCACUCGGGCUUUAAGCCUUUAAAUAUCAAAAUGAUAAAUCUUUGGUUUUCAAAUUACUUUUUGUUGAUCUGAUCUCAACCUUAGAUAUUUACACUUUCAAAAAAAUUAAAGUGAGAAAAAGCACCUUGUAUAAGCACUUUGUAUAAGCACUUUGCCCAUAUGUUGCCUCUUGUGACAUCUAAAACUAAUUCCUCUUUAGUUGUCGGUAUUUACCCUUUUCUGUUUAAAGGUUGAUGCUUUGAAUCUUCCUGUUCCAGGACUUGGAAAUCGUUAAACUAGUUUCGGAAACCACUAUGUGAAUGGCCGUUCUACCGAAAACAUCUUUUGAAUUUUAAAUAUUGUUGUCAUUUGUUUUUGUGAGAUAUCUUUUGAAUCGUUUGUUGGAUGCGGUACUGAUUCUCGUGAUGUUGUGCAGGACACAUUGAUCACUCUGCAAGGGUCAUGCGUGUUAUUACGUGGAAUAAGUCUUUCAGAGGCAUGCCAAACGGUGAUGGGAAGGAUGAAAACUCAGAAGAUUAUGAAACUCAUGCCACUGUUUUGGAUAAGAUGUUGGCAUGGGAAAAGAAACUUUAUGAUGAAGUGAAGGUAUAUUGCAUUAGUUUGUUUCAUUUUAUUUGUUUGCUGCUUUUCAUCUUGAUUCACUAGUGUCAUUCCACAUCAUGAACACUGUUCGUGGUGGCGGUCCUUUUUGUAUUUGGAUUGUUGAUAUCACAAAAAGUACACAUCCUCUACUUGGUUAAUCGGGAGAAUAAUAUUCCAGCACAAAAAUGUAUCUUCCUACUUAUUUUUUUUCUUACACUGAACCUUUUCUUUUUUUUUGAUCCUACUUUGUGUUGAUAGCAAGGGGAGCUUAUGAAGGUCGAGUAUCAGAGAAAAGUUGCGGUGCUGAAUAAGCAGAAGAAACGCAGUGCUAGUGCUGAAACAUUGGAAAAAACAAAAGCAGCUGUAAGUCAUUUGCAUACAAGAUACAUAGUUGACAUGCAGUCCAUGGAUUCUACAGCUUCAGAAGUAAAUCAAUUACGGGAUGAGCAGCUGUACCCUAAACUUGUUUCUCUAGCUGAUGGGUAAGUUUGUGCAUUGAGAAUUCUUGCUAUUUCUUUGUUUCGUUCUUGUUGCCCCUAGUGUCUUCUUGAUUGCUCAGACUAUCCUUAUUCUGUCUUAAAAUCAUUUGGCAUGUGUCUAAAAAGCACCAUUUUUAUCGGUGGAAAAUUUGAACUGAUGGUUUCCGCUUCUGUAAGGUUAUGUGCUGAAUUUUGUGGAAGUUAUUGCUUCCUUCGUAGUUGAUGUCCCCAUUUGUUUAUUGUGCUAUUGAGAAAAGGUUUCCUCUGCAAAUAUAUUCAUCACAUCUGCAUCACAGGAUGGCAAAAAUGUGGGAGAACAUGUGCACACAUCACGGCAGCCAGUUGAAGAUUGUUACAGACCUAAAGUCCCUAGACAUUCCCCAUACUCCGAUGGAAACAACCAAGCACCACCAUGACCGCACUGUCCAGCUUUGGAAUGUUCUCCAAGAAUGGCAUUCUCACUUUGAAAAGCUUGUGACUCAUCAAAAACAAUACAUCCAAGCUCUUAAUAGUUGGUUGAAGCUAAAUCUCAUACCUAUCGAGAGCAGCUUAAAAGAGAAAAUCUCAUCCCCGCCAAGAGUUCAGCGUCCACCAAUCCAAGCUCUCCUCCAUUCAUGGCACGAUUCUCUUGAAAAGCUUCCUGAUGAACUCGCAAAAUCUGCAAUAUCGUCCUUUGCGGCUGUGAUAAAGACCAUCAUACUUAAUCAGGAGGAAGAGAUGAAGCUAAAAGAGAAGUUUGAGGAGACACGGAAGGAGUUUCUGCGUAAAAGUCAGGCCUUCGAAGACUGGUACCAAAAGUACGCGCAAAGACACGCGGAAAUGGAUCAGGAGAGAGGUGAAGAUGCAAUUCCCAAGGAUCCGGUCUCAGAGAAGAAAUUCAUUGUUGAGAGCUUGAAGAAGAGAAUGGAAGAGGAAUACGAAGCUCACCAGAGACACUGUAUCCAGGUGAGGGAGAAGUCACUUGGGAGUCUCAAAACUCGCCUGCCUGAGAUCUUCCGCUCCAUGACAGACUACGCUAAUGCCUGUUCCGAGGCUUAUGGAAAACUGAGGUCCACCACAGAGGCACAAGUAUGAAAUGGUGAUGUCCUAAUAUGCGUAUGAUUUGUUUUGCUAGGAAGUAGGAGGCUUUUGUACUGUUUUGUAUGCGGAAAACUUGUUUCGGUUAGUGAUAUCUUUGUCCUCUGGAAAUUUUGCUGAAACAUGCAAAUCAUGCACAGGAGGCAAUGAAGUUGUGACUCGAGGGAAAUUUCAUGCGACUUGUUGGGCUUGUUCUUUUUCCUGAUGGAUUUAAUAUUAGCAUUACAAAAUAGUUAUAUUUUGCUCUUUGGCGGGUAUUUUUUAACAACAGUGUUGAUAUGUUUGGAGUGUCGAUAAUAGUUUUUUUUUUUUUUUUGGGUAAAAAUGAGUUGAUUUUGUGUACGGUAGCAUUUACACAAAUGGUGAGCCGAAAUCGCGAAUGAUUUUUACAUGCAGUUUAGAUUCUCUCGUGUCAUCAUAACGACUUCUUAAUAGACGGACAUUGCAUUUUUUUUCAACACGUGGCAAUUGAUUACUGGACGGUGACGUUACAUAGACUAAAACCUAAUUCCAUAACCCGUUUAAUAAAUAAUCAUGGUAUAAUAAAUCAUGACAUGGGAUAAUCUCAUUUUUAUGGGAGAAUGUGCACUGGGGCGGCCCUACGCAGAAAUUUCUGGAGGCAGAUUGUAUGUGUCAUUUCUAUUCUCUUUUAUUUUGUGCGGUCACGGUUAAGUUACGUUAAUAUUUUAUAUUAAUUUUUUUUAUAAAGAUAAUAAGAUAAAAAACAAUAAGAAUAUAAAAUGUUGACGUAACUUAAUCGUGACCUCAUAAAUAGAAAAAAAUAAAAUGAACAUCCAAACAAGAGGGCAGGCAAUCUGCCUACGAAAUUUCUUGGUGAAAUACAGAAUCUAUCAAAAGCAAUCUCUGUGGAUGACCGAGUGACAUUGUCAGCCAACGUGCGUGCCAAAAUUAGAGAGAGAAAAAUGUCGUCAAAUUAUUGAGAAUAUACGACAAAACAAACCUGCUAAAGUGAUUGACUGAGGAUCUGGGAUGCUUUGGCAUAAUUAAUACGAUAUGUCAUGUGACAUUUUCGACACAAAAACGAAGAAACAUUAUUCUUUGGCUCUGAUUAAUUUAAUCUCAACGUAAAAUGUUCUUGUAUUUAUGUUUUUGUUUUGUUAGACUACAUUUUAAGCGAGCAUAUUUGGUAAUCGCUCGAUUACCAAUUACGAACAUUGUUUUUGACACAAGUGAUAGUUGAGAAUGAAGAAUCAAACUUUAAGAUAGAGAUUAAGAAAAUUUUUGGUUUUAGUCACGUCGCAAGCGUCUUAUGAUCCAAAAAUAUAUUCGAAGAAUUUUGACGGAGGAAUGGGAUGGAUGGAGCCGGAUAACUUGUUCCGGUUUUUCUAAGCUCGUUUUGCUAAUCAUGUUCAUUAUUACAUGUAAAAUGAUUGAAUUUGGCCAAAAUUUAGUCUUUGGACCUUACAAGGAGAAAAACUUUCAUACAUUGAGUACGUCACGAUUACAGUAUUCUAAAUCAAUCAAACAUUGUUAUGUGUUUUAACUUCUUUACGUGGUAGUGCAUGAUUGAUUUAAGAUACCGUCACAGUGACAUUCUGGUGUAGCUAUGUAUAUAAGUUUCGCUCACAUGGAAGGGAAAAACACAAGACUAAAAGAGAGAACCUCGAGUGUUUUGAGUUUCAACCUUUUAUAUCUAUAUUUCGUACAGUUUUCUGUGAUUACUUGGAUGUGUUAAGAAUAUCGAACUUAAUUUUCCACUUUGUUUGCACAGCCUUCCGAAAGAACAAAGCCAAAGUUGUCCACAUCCUAACCACAAACUGCAAUGUUAAAUGGGUGAUUAGGUUGUGGAUAGCUGAAGAAUUUGUUGAACCUAAUGACGGGGUCACACCAGAAGAAGUUGCAGAGGACUAUCUUACGGAAUUUACUGCGCGUAGCAUGCUGCAAAUUAUGCAAACGAAUGAAGAUGGAAGAGCAAAAACAUGUAAGAUGCAUGAUCUUACACCCGAGGUUGCUCUGUCGAUGUCAAGAAAGGAAAAAUUUGGUGCUGCAUUUGUUGGCAGAGAAGUAGCAAAGAAGUUGGAAUGCGUAGAUUGUCAAUUCAAAUAACUGCAGAAUUUAAUUCUUUUACUAGUAUGUCAAAGCUUCGGUUGCUUCUUGCCGAUCUUUGCCACAAACAUGUUGUAUGAGUUUAAGAAAUUGCCUUCUAGGUUCAAGUUGCUGACAAUUCUUGAUUUGGAGGACGUCCCAGUUGCUAGAGUCCCGAAUGAACUAGUGCACCUAUCCGAUUUGAGAUAUUUGAAUCUGAAGGAUACUCUGAUUGAGCAGCUUCCGGAAUCCAUAGAGUGCGAUUGGUAUGUGUUUAGAUAAUACAUGGGAUCAAAUUUUAGUAAGUUGAAGAAACUACAAGUUCCAUCACGCGUUGACUCAAAAGGACAGAUCAUUAUAGUCGUCUGGAAUAUGAUCCAACUUACAAGGAUAGGCAUUACAAAUGUAAAAAUGCAAGUGACGAGAUGCGGAGAUGUGGAAUUGAAGACAUUGCCAGAGUCUCGAUUUCUUUUUUCAACAUCGAAAACUGAAUUUGAGGCUUGUCCCACUGCAACUUAAAGAGUCCGUAAAAGGAGGCAUCACGAAAGCUUGUCUAGUAUACAUUGCAGAAGGCAUGGAAAUCAGGAAUGUGCUGCACCUUCGCACGACCCAUGCCUCCUUUUACGGACUCUAUAAGUUGCAGAAACUACAUAUCGAUCCUGGCUUUCUUAAUCUCGUCCUGCUAGCUGCAACAAACGGCUUAUAUAUUCAGACUUAUCUCUCUCUCUCUCUCUCUCUCUCUCUCUCUCUCUCUAUAUAUAUAUAUAUAUAUGGAAAGAAAAUCCAUGUAAAAUGGAUGCAUCUGGACAAUAAUUCAUGGAAAAUUGCUCUGUCAACUAGGUUUUUGGUGUUUGGAACUUAGCUUGUCAUCUCAAUGCAAGAAGAACAACUUUCGUGCAACAAGGAUGUCACUGUAACGGUAUUCCAAACCAACCAAACAUAAUUAUGUAACUUCUCCACAUGGUAGAAAAUCUUAUUGACUUGAGAAGUUGCCGCAGUGACAUCCUCAAUGUUGUAUGCUCGUCCCCAACGGAAGCAAAAACGCAAGUGCAAAAGGAGAAACCUUUGAGUGUUUCAACUUUAGGGUACGAAAUGUAUUAUUUCUUCAUAAAUAUUCAUAAGUGGCUAAUAAUGUAUCAAGUUGUGCUCAUUUAAGCACAAAAAUGAAGAGGGUUUGACAAGUAAUACAAUCUUGUUUCUCCUACGUCUUCACAACACAACACAAUUGAGCUCUGAAUAUGGAGAUUAAUUUUCUGUCUAAAAUCUUUGGCACGCGCGGCGGUUGCUGCUGGCGAUGCUUACUAAGAGGUUAUUGUGCCGGAUUCUGUCUCUUCUUCAACUCGUCUCCGGCCACAAGGAAGAACGCAGUGUGCCUGAAAAAGUUCAUCAUUUUGACCUUGGACUCUGCAUCAAUGUCUGGAGUGGUGUCCAGUGCUUGCUGCAUAUGAUGCAGCCACCUCUCCGCAGCUUCGUGCGUGACGGGAAAUGGACGGUGGCGUGCAAUCAGAGCAGGAUGGCCUGCCAAUUUCCAAUUACAACAUAAGGACUCAGAUUUGUAAUCAAAAUGUCACGGGCUGCAAUGCAAUGCAUUUGCUAAAUUUUAACCAGAGAUAUAUUCAAUGUAACAGUAAAAUCUCGUAACAUACUGGAUCGGACAAUAUAACGGUAAGCAGAGAAAUUAUUCAGUGUGUAGUGGCAGCAUAACAUACCAUGUCGUGUGGUGUUGCAAGUCCAUCCAAAUUAUAAUUUUCGAAAGGGAACUUUAACGAAAAACUUAUGGUACUGUUCAUCUUAACAAAAAACUACAUUUUUAAAAUAAAAAGUCAAUCCUGAUACUAUUCAUUUUACCCUUUAUUUUAUCAUUUUCGUUAAAACUAAAAAAUUUCAAGUUUUUUUCAUUAAUUUUCCCUUUUCGAACUAAAUCAAUUUAUGUAGUUGUGGGCAUCAAAUGCUAUGUAGCAUUGGAUGAGUUUUGUUUCUGGAAAUUCGUGUGUUAAGUAAACUAAAUCAAACUCGUUCAACGAUACAUAACAUGAUAUGACAAAUAACAGUAUUUCUAAAAUUGUGAAUUAUGAAUACUAAAUUUAUCAUACGACACAUAAGAAUGUCACGUAAAGUUACCGUCACACACAAUAAUAAUGUUACGGACUUAAAUUCGGGCCUCCAUAGCACAAACCAAAUGCAAAUUUGGACUAUAAAAUGGAAAUACCAAAAAAAAAUUCCCACACACAUACCUCUUCUCUGUGAGAAGAGAUUUGGGCCUCCCAUUCUCUGCACGAAAAACUCGUACUGGUUCUGAAUGGCGUCUUCCUUCUUCGAAUUGGCGAAAAUCGACCGGAACCACUCCUGUUCGUCAUCGUACACCCUGCCGAUCAAGGGCAUAAUCGUAAAUUCACUACCAAUCCAAUCCAAUUCAGCAUAUGAUACGAUGAGAUCGAUGAAGACUGAAGAAAGACGAACCAGAGAACGAACCUGGUGUAGAAAUUGGUGGAGAGGUUGAUGAAGGCCUGGAGGCCGAGUUUCUGAAACAGGUUUGUCUCGUCGAUGGCGAACGCGUCGGCCGAGUCGACGCCGCUCCACUCGGCGGCCUUGGCUUGCAGGCUCUGCAUUCUUUUGCUCACUGGUUGGUGGCGGAGUCCGCGUGCUUGUUCGAGGAAGUGUGAGUUUGGAGAUUUGUGAGGAAGCUGUUUAGUUUAUACAGGGGACUCGUGCCGCCCGCGUGGAUUGCACGCUGCCGGAUUUGAUUUGCUGACCAAUGGGAAGUCGAGGGUCUCGAAACUAUGGGCAAUGGUGGAUUUGACACGUUGGUCCCCUUUGUCCUCUUUUAUUCUUUAUGUGACACUAUGAGCUAAUUAUGUUGUCACUUACAAUUUGCGUACAAAUACAAAAUACCCUUUCUUUUUCAAAAGGAAAAAACAGAAAUAUCCUAUGAUCCCAAUUCGAACAUAAUAAUCAUUUGAUCGGUUGUAAAGGAGAUAUAUAAUGCAAAAUUGUGGAGAAUUUUUUUGGUUCCCGGUACUUGUGGGGAACAUUACCUGGACAAAUGCCGGAAACUUUGAAAAAUCUCUCCAAAUUGUAAGCAUAAACAACAAGACACACAAUAUUGAUCUGAUAGUUUAUAUUCUAUCCGUUUAUAUUUAGUUUAUUAAAAUGUAAAUGCAUUUUUUAUAAUAAAGUGAAACUGAAUUGACAACUUCAUAUGGCGAUGUGGCAAAGGAAGAUAUAUUUGGACAAAAGAAUCUUUUAAGGAUCAAGGAACGAAAAUGAAAUUACAAGGAACGAAAAUGAAAUUACAUUUGUAACAUGCGUCUGUUACAUUUUUUGGUUUCAUUAUUGUCUAUUUUUUAGUUUCAGUAGAUAAAAUGAACACAGAUUGAAAAGGAUUACAAUGAUAAAUCAAAUAGCUAAGGAUGAUGGUAGAAACUUGAAAGGCUCCUGCGCAUUAAAACAUAAAAUUCAAAGAUUGAGAUUUGAUGUAAGAGAAUUGUUAUUAGCACUCAAAAGUCUCAUUUGACAUUCUAAUCUUUCUAUAAUUAAAAAAAAAUAUACUUGAGAAGUUUGUAGAAUGAAAUUUUUAAAAUGAUAAUCUCUAAUUUAAUGGUUCGAAAAAAAUAAAGAGCAUUAAAAAUAUUACGAAUCUUGAAAUAACGAUGUGAGAUGGGUCCGAACAUGGUGUGAGGUUUAAGAUGGGCCUAAUUGGGCUUUAGAUCAGUAAAUGGGAAAUGUUAAAGGCAAGAAAAAUGGCGGCGCGACUAAUCUUAUCUUUAAACCGCCAAUCUCCACCGUCGCAUACAAAGCAAAAAGGCGCAGACUGUAACAUCCUUAUGUAACUAACAUUUAACAAACCCUAACCUCCUCCGUCGGUACGGUGCCUGUUAGCUGCUAAUCUCUCUCCGUUUCUUUCUCCAGUAACCGAUUCCUCCGAGCUUCGUCUCAGAAACCAUAGAAAAUUUCCCAAAUUUUUGUUGUGAGAAUUUUGGUUGCUGACGGCCGGGGAUCGAACUUGAUUCAGAUGGUGUCGACGGUGGGAGUAGAGACUAGGAUGGAGAACUCGCAGAAUCGAAUCAGGAAGCGGCCGAGGUCGGCGUGGGACGUCGGCCCAUCGCAAUCGGAACCGGAGGUUGGUUUUGGGCUAUUCAUUUGUUAGGGUUAGGGUUUCCAAAUGAGAAGAAACGACAAGAUUGGGGCUUUUUUGUGCGGCAUGUGGAUUUAGGGUUUGCAGUGAUUAAUGGUAAUCGGACAGGGAUGAAAAUGGUUGAUGGAUGCAUCUUGUUUUUGUAGGCGCAACGGGCUGUGAUGGCAUGUAAUGAAGGGAAUGGAAGGCGUGGAUCGCCUCCUAAACGAGACGAUGAUCGGGAAGGGCAUUAUAUUUACAAUCUCGGCGAGAAUCUCACUUCAAGAUGUGAGUUUUUCCUGAAAAUUUAGCGCAUUGUUCUUGUUUUUUGUUAAUUACAUGCUUUUAUCGGGUAAUGAUGUUGUUUCGGGGUUGUUUACGUUGAUUUGGCAGAUAAAAUACUUAACAAGAUGGGUGAAGGUUAGAUGUCAAGUGUCCUGCUGUCUACAAGAUUUUAUUUUUUUUGUCAUUCUGCUUGUGUCAUUCAGCAUAUUGCUAGUGCUGUAGGCACAUUUGGCCGAGUUUUGGAAUGUUGGGACCGUCAAACACGAGAGUAUGUGGCAAUCAAGGUAGUUCGAAGCAUACGAAAAUAUCGGGAAGCAGCAAUGAUUGAGGUUGAUGUGCUUGAACAGCUUGCUAAGCAUGAUAAGGGCAACUCACGGUACAUGUCUUCUGGGUUUAGCUAAUAGAAUUGCUGGUUCAAUCAUUGUGAUGUCGUCUAACUUCGAGCAUGUUAAUACAUUGAUGCAGCUGUGUGCAGAUUCGCACUUGGUUUGAUUACCGCAAUCACAUUUGCAUUGUAAGUAUCCCAAUUAAAUUCCUUCAUGUUACUCUUUUGCUCCAUUAUGUUGUACUCUUUUACUGUUUUCUGCUUGCUGUUGUGAAUCUGUGUAAUAUUUUUUCAACCAUGCUGGUUAUUUUCCUACAAGUAGUUUAGAUGAUCGAUUCUCACAUGCAUGUAAUACCAAUCGAGCUUUCAGAUUGACUUACAGUUUGAUAUUAGUAUGUCCAUGGACUUUAUUUAUAGAACUGGGAACUAAACAGAAACCUUCAUUUGGAUGAAUUUAAUGGUUUCUCAGGUGUUUGAGAAGCUUGGACCAAGCUUAUUUGAUUUUAUAAAGAGAAAUAAAUACUGCCCAUUCCCUGUGGAUCUUGUUCGGGAAUUUGGACGACAGCUUUUGGAAUCUGUAGCAUGUGUGUGGAUAGUUCUUAGUCUCAUUCUCUUUUUUAUUUUUAUUGUAACCAGUCACACAAAUCUGUUUAUUGGCCUCUUGUCUUUGUCCAUGGCUGUAACAGGGUGUUUUAAUUCAGUCCUUUUGUUUUUAACUUACAAUUUUUCUUCAAUAUUUCCAACAGAUAUGCAUGACUUACGCUUAAUUCACACUGACCUGAAGCCAGAAAAUAUUCUUCUUGUGUCCUCUGAAUAUGUAAAGCUUCCUGGUUCUAAGGUAUCUUGGACUUUUACAAUUUAAAGUUCAUGCCUUGUUUCAUAUUUGGGUACAGACUCAGUUAAUAAAAGUGCUUGAAAAUGGUACAGAGGUUUUCUUCAGAUGAAACGAAUUACAGGUGCUUGCCCAAGUCUAGUGCCAUUAAGCUGAUUGAUUUUGGUAGUACAGUGUCUGAUGAUCAGAACCAUAGCUCCAUUGUUUCUACCAGGCAUUACAGAGCCCCUGAGAUUAUUCUAGGUAACUAAUUACGGUGCUGGCCAGCCAAAAUGUGAUAUCAUUUCCUUUUUUAUUCACCUUCUGUUCCCAUCUUCACUGAAACCAUACUAAGCAAUAUGGUGUUGAUGAAAAGGACUAUCUUACUGGUGAUUUAGAAAAGUACUUGAGGCUGGUACAUCUAUAAACAAGUUUUUUCAAAGGGAGUGUUUAACAGAGUCAUAGAAGGUCAUUGUGGUGCAUUAGUCACGUUUUUUUAUGCUGGAUCCCCCAACAUGGUCAAUAAGAACACAUAAUAAGGGCAUGUUACAGUAUGGCAUUGAUGGAGACUUAUAACAAUCUUUAUUAGCUUUUACCGUAGUGGUGUGGUUUCUUCUCUUUAUUAAGAUGCAUCCGUAGCAUAGGAUAUUCAUGUUUUUUAUCCUUCCCCUAAGCUCUUUCUUGGGUCUGUUUUGAAUUGAGUUUGGUGACAUUUCCAGCAUGGUCAUCCUUUACUUGUCCUGGUUCUGCAGAGUGUAAUCGUUUUUUGUGUGUUGGUUUGUAAAGAUUAUAGCUGUUUUUACCAGCUAUUUGUUAACCUAAUUUUGUUUUUACUUUAUUCUCUCUUGUCAUUUUAAGUUAUUAUGGAAGUAGAGAAAAAAUCAUUAAGUUGUUUUUGGUAAUAAUUAUUCUGUUACAAUGAUCAAGCUUUAUCUUGCGUACAUCUCAGGUACUGACCAGUAAUAGUAUCUAUAUUGUUCUGAUCAUUGCUGUAUGUCUAUCUUGCAGGUCUAGGGUGGACUUACCCCUGUGAUCUGUGGAGUAUAGGGUGCAUUCUUAUUGAACUUUGUUCGGUUAGUCCUACAUUACUUUAUCCUGUUUCGAAUAUGGAUUCUUCUGGUCAGGAAUUUCUAAGAUGGGGAAUUUUGUCAGGGAGAGGCAUUAUUUCAGACGCACGAGAACUUGGAGCAUUUGGCAAUGAUGGAGAGGAUAUUGGGACCUCUGCCGCAACAUAUGACCCAAAAGGCCAAGUAUGUAUUGAAAUAUACUGAUUCUGGCUAUUUUUUUUUACUAGAACAUGGUUGAACAAGUUUUGUAUUGGAUCUAGAGCACUUUUGAGUUUUGAUUAUUUUAUUGAACUAGAAAUUGGAUGAGAUAAUUUUAUUCAGUUUUUAUCCAUGUGUAGCCAUGGUGCUGAAAAGUAUUUUAGGCGGGGUGCACGACUGAAUUGGCCUUUAGGAGCAGUUUCAAGGGAGAGCAUUAGAGCUGUAAAGAAGCUCGACUGUUUAAAGGUUUUUACCUUUUUCCUCUCUAUUUUCGGUUCCAAAAAAUAUUUACAUGAUUUGAUAACUUGUGGAAUUUCUUGAUUUGUUAGUUGAUAUGGUGCCAUUUAUUUUGUAUACAGGAUCUGAUAUUGCGACUUGUAGGGUCGUCGAAAGCUAGUUCCUACCUGACUGAUUUGUUGUAUGGGUUGCUGAAAUACGAUCCGUCUGAACGCCUCACGGCUCGACAGGCACUUGAUCACCCCUUCUUCAAGAUUCCAACCUGAGGAACCCCAUCGCGAGAUAUAAUUAGUUUCCCUAUGUUAGGAUUCGAAGAAAGCAAAGCUAGCUCAUCUAACGAUGGCGAGAGAGGGAGGGAGGGAGGGAGGGAGGGAGGGAGAGAGAGAGAGCUCAAAUAGUAAGUUGAGCUUCACUUGUAUAUGUACAAAUAGUUUAGUGGCCUCAUCUAUGAAAUACUGAACUUUUCCCUUACCCGUUUUGAAUUAGUCUUGGUGAUUCUAAAAUGCAUGGAGUUUUCGUACUUUUUAGGUGCGCUUUGCCUCAUAUUUUCACUCCUUUUUACCUCUUGCAUUCCGCUCUUAAUUUUGUCCCGUGAUUUUCCUUGAUCUAUUAUAUUUGACGGCCAGAAGGUCAGAAAUAAAACUGCUAUAAUCGCUUUUUUUUUUUUUUUUUAUCACCCACAAUUUAUUAUCUCACACAAGUACACAACACUGCCA
rnacentral:lncRNA from 1 species